CUGGAUGGUGUUUGUGUCUGGUGUGGCGUGAAUUUAGAGAUGCUUUACUGGAAUUUGCCUUCCUUGGUUGCUGUUUGUGUUUUUUCUCCAUCGUCGUGUGGAUAUGGUGCUCGACACAAACAUAGGAUAGCGCGGUAGCACAUGACAUCAAAUCGCAAGAAUGUUCCUGGCGUUAGACUGGGCACAGAUUUCUGUAGUGUUUUUUAUUUUAUUUUAUUUAUUUUUGGUAUAUUCUGCAGCCCUUUCUCACAUCGUGAGAGUAGACAACGAAUAUUCUGUUUGAAAUGCUUUUUCUCUGCACAAAAACUAUGGAGUUUGCGACAGAGCCGCUUCUUGUUCAUAUUUGAUAAACUUCUCCGAAUAAGAUCGAUUACAUGAUGUGCACCUCGAACCAUGGUAUGUAGACAAUUCAUUCGUUCUGAUUGUGUUUAUUGUGCAGGCAUCUGAUAAAUUAGAGGACAUUCACGAUGGAUCACGGUUAUCCCGCUAACCAAGGGCCAACCCCCGCACACAACGACAUUCACACUCAAGACGAUGAGCCAUUGUUUACUUCACCACCUGAGGAUCGCAGUGCCAGCGUGAGGCGGCCUCCUCAGCAGCAAGCUUCUAGCACUCCUAGCAGUUUCGGAGCUCCUCCGAUGGGAGAACCAUCCGAGCCAGAUGCUCACCCUGAUAAUAAAACUGCUGCUACCCAAACUACAGGUGUUGCGUCCGUUCCUCAGGCCCCAGUGCACACAAGUGAUCCUGCUCCUCGUGGCCCUGCUCCUGGUGGACUUGGAGGUUUGGGCAGACAACCUAGUGGGUCAUUUGACAAGGCCACAUUGGGCGGCGGUGGCGGAGGAUUGCGAAGACAGCCCAGUGGUGCUUAUGAUCCAUCAACUGCAGCCAAAACUGAUAAAGGUUUCUUAGGUGGACACAAGCACCAGACAACUCCUGCCCCACCUCCCGCACAGCCUGCCGCUGCUGGCCCUACUCCUGUGGGAGCUGCACCCGGAAGCCCAUAUGUCAAGACGGAAGAAGUUCCCGCUACAGGAACUAGUGAGUUGCCACAAAUCAUUGAAUUGUUAAUUUUUUUUCUUUUUAUUUUUUUAUUUUUAUUCUGUUUCGAAAUCAUUGUUUAUACAUUAUAUAUGUGGAGUAGAUCUCAGUGAGCUGUGAUCUUAUUAUUUGCUUCAGCAGAGUCGAUCUUUGAAUCUUCAGUUUGCAUGCAGGUUAAAUUCAUCGGUGAAUGUGAUAGAUGGAUUGUAUGAAUUUGUGUAUAACACGGCCGUUUGUGAUCACUCGUUUUGACCUUUAUUUUUUUCUUAUUUCCAGGUCCUAUGAACACGAUCAUGGAGAACUUUAACAAGUAUUAUUCCAAGGCGGAAAUAAUUGCAGGAAACGUUUGGAGCCACAGUAGGUUACAUUUAACCGAAAUAGACUAGGAAGAUGUAAACGACGCGAUGUGUGUUCUAAUCUGCGUAGCAGGUUAUUUAUAUUAGUCACGUUUUCCAUGAAUCGUCCAUCUUGUAUUAGGUUACUAAUUACUCUGGCGGAUUUUGUGGAAUUGCAGUGAAAACCGGUCCGUCUGUCACAGACGCCGCCCGGGGAAAAGUGAGUCAAGGUAUUAAGCUGGUAACAGAAGGUGGUUUCGAAGGAAUAUACAAGCAAACCUUCGGAAUGGAUGAGGGGGAGCAGCUCCGCAAGACAUACGCUUGUUACCUAUCCACUUCCACGGGCCCCGUAGCGGGCACUCUGUAUGUUUCCAACUUGAAGUUCUCAUUCUGCAGCGAUCGACCUCUAUCAUACGCACCCACUCCCGGUCAGCAAGCCUGGAGUUAUUACAAGGUUAGCAAACUCAAUCUGUAAUCUCAAAUGAAUAGUUGAUUCGAAUAUCCUGAAUGUAAUUGUUUUACUUGCUGCACUACCUACCUGUUGACUUGACGAAAUGCUGUCAACCCUUGUUUACUUUUCAAGGAACUGAAAGUUUAUCAUUUUCUGUUCAGAUGGUCGUGCCUCUGGCAAAGGUGAAGGAGGUGAUUCCAUCCUUCAACGAAAGCAAGCCUGCAGAGAAAUAUAUUCAAGUUGCGACACAAGAUGGCCACGAUUUCUGGUUCAUGGGGUUCGUGAACUACGACAAAGGUGUGCGAAACAUGCAAUUGGCGCUGCAGCACAUUGGAGAGAUUGAUCCCAAUGGUGGCCUCAAAGCUCCAUGGGCUGGAAUGACCAGCAAUCUUCCAGGAUUGAAGAAGCCUGCUGCUGCUCAGCAACCAACUGGUGCUCACAACCCAACCUACGGUGGCCCGGCUCCGAACCAUCCCAUCAACCCAACCACUGGUGGUGAUGCUCCAUAUCCACCCACAACUAACCCAACCAUGUAAAGCUAUAAAGGUUAGAUUGCCAUUAGGGUAGAGUGAUUUGAUCCUAGAAAACAUUAGUUGUCCAUAGAGGUAUUGACGAGUUGGCACCUGCACACAAGGUGCAUUGUUACACAGUGAUUUACAAAACAAGAGUAAAUUGUUUUGAUCGUCACCGUUGCAUUCAUAAACUGUGGGUGGUGCCUGCUUUUUUCCACAUUAAAAGCUGAAGUGGGCAAAGCGUUUGUGUGCCGGAAUGGAACGAACUGUGCAUGAUUUCACCAAAACUUGCAGGGGAUAUGAACUCUGGUUUCCCGCAACCAGUCACUGUGCAUGUUUUGCUUUCUAGCAAAGAUUAAUGCUGAUCUUAAAAAUAUAUGUAAAAAGAGAAGUUUAAAAAUAUAUAAAUAUAUACAUAUAUAUAUAUAUAUAUAUAUGAAAUAUUUUUCAAAUGAAAACAAACCAAUCUUCCUAAUUAACCAAUAUAGCCAAAAAACAGUUCAAAUUCAAUUCAGAACCAUUCGAGUAGAAAAGAAACUCAUGUACAUUACAAACCUUAUCUUACAAAGAUAUCUAAAAACUCCAGCCUGUAAAAUUAACUAAAUGCAAUUAUACAAAAUCUAUUUUGCAAGGGAGAAUUUUGACAGUUUCUUCUUCCUUGCUUCUUUUAUUUCUCUUUUGGUUAUGCUUGAAAUACGAAUGUCAAAUAUCUGCUACCCCUGGUGACCAAGCUCGUAAACCAGCGGGCAGAGUUCGUAUCCGCGGCGGUACAACGGCGAAUUGCGAAUGCGGGUGGCGCUGCACAAACGAACUAGGCAUGGCGACGCCGCGGGCUUACAGAAUUGUACAGCCCACGAAAGCGCAGCCACCUUUGGCACUCCGACACAGAAUUCGCGUGCCGAGUCUCGCAAUGGGUACUCCGACGGUGUGCACGCACGCGAUGCACUUCGCAUUCGGCUCCGGCAUCGUCUUUACGUCGGGGACGUACUGUACCAGAACCUGACCCGGGGUGUAAAUUGACGGUGGUUGCGUCGGCUGCUGCUGCUGUUGAUGAUGCAGGGGACUCUGGGCAUGUGGCCCUUGUGGGGCUGGUUGAGGAGGAUGGCGAUUCCCUAUAAAUCUCCGUUGUUGGGGAUGCGGAUGCUCCCCUUGGCGUCGAUAAAUUGGUCCCUCUGUAAUCGCUGGUCGAUUCGAGCCUCGUGGAACGUCGAAGAUUUGUGUUUCCAUAUCUUGUUUCUCACCAGGGUAAACAAUCAUGCUGAAGUCCUCAGCAUGUGUAGGAUCAUUCGUGGUAGAGUUGAUGUUAAGAGGAGCAAUUUGCGGUUGGUUGUUAUCUAGCGAUCGUAAGACGUUUGCUGUUAAACGGUGGCUACCGCCAUUGCUCGCUACACUUGGAUUUAGACGGGAUGUACCAGUUGGGAGUCUUUGAUCGCCUGCACGAUUGCUUCCUCUUUCAUGAGUCCGGCCACUACCACUUGAGUCGUGGUCUGAGACUUGAGAUUGACCAUGCAGACUCCCGUCUUGACUUAACCGAGAUAGCGCACUCCCAUAUCCAUCACUCCGACCACUUGCAUUGUAGUUACCAUAGUGAUCUACCAGCGCAUGGCUGACUGCAGUAGGAGAGCCAACCAGUAUCUCAUCUGUAGGGUUUCCAGGGAAUUCGCUGGAUUGCUUGGUUUUCUUUGUUUCUUUAUGAUUCACACCUGCUGGUGGAGUCAAAUUCGGAUUUUUGUUUUUCAAUCUCUUGCCGGGUUGUGUGGGUCGGACGCGGCCGGGUUCUUGAACCUGCCCUUGAUACCCACCAUAGCCAUGUCCAGUAGGUGCAUAUUGCUGGACGUCACCAUGGUAACGCGGAUCAGCACGAUUGGUUUUGCGGGGGUGAGGUUGUUGAUUCAGAACUACUUGAGGUCCUUGCUGCUGAACGACUGCUGCGGGGUCCCGAGGAUUGGAAUUUGGGCGCCUCCUAAAUUGAGGCUCACUGGGGGGUAUGUAUUGUGCCUCCAUGUUCGUGACACACUAAGUUUUAUUCGAUUCACCAAGACCACUGUAAGAAACGUCGCACGUCAGUACAAGCGAAAACAAACAAACAAACAAACAAACAAACAAACGACGUUGAGAUCAGGAUGACCUAAAUCAAGCACAUAUAAAUUAAAAUUCUGCGAGGCGCUUGAUGUGCUUGCCUUUUCGAAGGUUGUAUCAAUCGUCAAGUGACUCAUUGCAAUUCCAUUUCCAAAGUUUCUCCAGCUGCAUCUUUGGCAUCACUGCAACUCUCGACGAAAUCAAAGAAUGUCACCCAUAGGCAAGCAGAGUAAACUUACCACAACGCGCAAUUCCACAACUCUGCAAUGUACCCAUAGACGAAACCGCUCUCAAGACUUGGAACAAACGGGAACACUAGUUAGUUCACGACUAAACGUUUGAUGCGCAGGAGUGUACACAGUGGAACACAAUCCACUAGACUUUGGGAAGUCUGAAGCUUUCGACAUCCUUAUUAUUUGUUUAAAACCAGCAUUGCAGGAACUAGUUGCAACUCGAAUUUACACAAAAGUUUUUCACCCGCCACUAACGCACAAUAGAUCCGAGGGAAGGCAAUAUUGUCGGUACUGUGAAUCUUCUCACAGACGGCAGAUUCUGAAAGCUAAGAGAAGUGUAUCAAGAUAACUAGCUGUGAAUGGCUAAGAUUUGCUAUGGAUUCUGCAAUGAGCGUCGAUACCCAUAUUGAAAGUGCGUCACCAAUCUACAGAGUUAUCUGAAGAGAUUCUUAAAUGCGUAAUUUGACUAUAUGGAUUUUGGGUUCUAUGUGACAAGACACGAGGAUAAGUACUAUCUGAACAGCACCAUUACGAAGAAUCAUUUUGCACAACAACGAAGUGAAAAAGGUGUAUUAAAUUUAUCUGAACGUACCUUAUCACGCCAAGAUUCAUCAACAGAAAGGGACACUUAAUACAAGCUCAGUCUGCUUUUCAACGCAGUGUCGCCUCGCAGGUUGAUCUAUACAGAAAUUCAUUUCAUAGAAAUAUUACCACAUCAUCAUGUCUCAAACACCUCGAUGCUAAUUGAACCCAGCACAAUACCGGCAGUCUUCUCCCAACUCUACCGACACUUUUUCCACAAUGUACAGCAUUCGAACCGCCACCGCCACCGCACACCCACAAUCCUCUAAAAGUCACGCAAAAUAGCUACAACUGAAGCAAGUAAAUAACUACGUUUUGACAGUGACGACCACUGACACAAUGUCCACUAUUCUCGAAGCACCACCGACAAUCCAAACACGCCCUCACCUCCACCACCACUGCACGAAAUCUUAAUACCGGCAGCAAACGAUACUGAAAUCUACACACGAGAGAUACCUCUGGUACCAGGAAUCUAAACAAACAACCGAGAGCUCAACAACCAACAAUCACACACUAAUCGACAAACACCGUGAGGAACCGUGUCAUGUCCAUGGGGUGACUCGCAACACACCGAAACAAAUGAAUAACAAAAAAAACCCCAUUCUGACUAGGAAAAGGAUGAUAAAGACCAAAAGUAGAGUUCCAACUAAAGCUGCAAGUAACUCACCGGAAACUGUGAAGCUCGGUCAAGGGAAGAAAUGAGAGUACUGUAAGCUCCGACCUCAAGAGAUGCUUGAGCGAUGUGGGUUCCUCCCCACCUCCGACAGACAGCUGGGAUUGCGAAAUAAGCGCCGAGUUUUGGGAGACAUUGAGGCGUUUCGGUAGCGCUCAUAUGCUCCCCUCCUCCUCCGUGGACUCGGCGGCCUGUUUGACUUUGGCAACACUACCGUCACCACCAUGUUUGUGGGGUCAUCACUCUCCUCCCUCUUUCCUUUACUCAUUCUAAUAUUUGGACUCGCAUCCGAAUCCAUGAGAUAUGGGUUGUUUUAGAGUGGGUUUUUGAAGUCGUUUUAAAAGAUGGAAACUUUUUUGAUGUGGAUGAAUGAGAUGGUGGUGGAUUUUGUGAGGACUUUUGCCUUACUUGGAACGUAGUAUUGAUGGAUGUUUGACAAAGCGUGACCACAAGGAAAAAGUGGUGGAGGUGGAUAGUGUUAACAUGAGAUGUGGAAGUUGUGUGGGUGAAAAUAACCUUUUGGAUAGAGUAGAUUCCAAGUCAUUGCAUUUGGUGGCAUAAGAAGUGAUUGGGUCAACAUCUGUGGUUUUGUGUGGAAUAUUGAAGUGCAACUUGAUAUUGAUUUGCAGUACAGAAUAAUAAAUUUAUUUAUAAGAUCUAUUAGUUGAAAAUGUAAUACAUUAAAAAAAACUAAAUUUUAUGUCAAGAAAAAAUUACAACUUCUUAUUAUAAUAUAUACAACAACAAAUGUAAUAUUGCGUAGUAAAAAAAUAGAAGGUAAAAAGAAAAUAGAUGUUAUUUUAUUAUUCUUAACUUGUAUUACAUGAAUAUAUAUAUAUAUAUAUAUAUAUAUACAUAUUGAUAAGAGAUGUUAAAGUGGACGGAAUUUUAGCGAGAUUUAUUUAGAGAAUAUCCAUGUGGCCCAACAAAUGGACAAUAAACUUUUUUUUUUAUUACCUUACAAUGUCUAAAAGAAAAAAAUCUAUUUUAACAGAUAGUGAAAGGGUCAACCUACAUCAUAUUAUCAAAUAGUACGAAAGAUAUUUGGUUGAAAUCAUCAUAAUCUUCCACAGUACUACUAUAUCUCUUUAAAAAAAAACAUAGUUGAAUCCUUCCUCAAAGAUUCUUUGGAUGAGACAUCAUAGAAGAGAAAUAGUUCAUAGAAAAAAAAUUAUAGAAAAUACACAUGUUUCAAUUCCUUUUAGUGGAUGGGUUUUAGCCGGCAUCCCUGUGCAGACUGAUGAUUCUUUGUUAGAUAAAAGAUAAAAAUAGGCAACAGACACUGCGGAAUUAAGCAAGAAUAACUUCAAAGAUAAAGAUCCUAACGAUUCUUUUGUAGAGUUAGCUUCCUCCUUCUGUAGUAAAAGUAAUAUUUUGGGGACAUUGCUCAAAUUCUACAGAUCUUACAGGCAGCAUUCUAUCGACCUUUAUCUCUAGAUCAUUCUCCAGCUCCUCCGCUCAUUGAUCUGAGAGCACGUGAAAAUCUGACUACAAUAUUCGAAUUCAUUCUGCUACGCUGGAGAUCUUCAGAAAAUGACACAAACAUGUACAUAAAUGGCAAAUGACGAUUCGUCAUUUUUUUUAUGUGGUGCUCAACAACUCCGUGGGCCAGUAAGCAGCGCAACUUGCAGUAAGUCGGUAAGGCAUAUCAACAUCUAGACUCAUGACACGUCGAAGAUAAGUCACUCGGAAACACCCAGGGUCAAUGCCUUCUAAUAUUAGCAUAAAGAAUCCACACCGUGAAUGGCGAGUUUUGGAAAUCAUGUGCAAAUUAGUGCAAGCUGGAGCGGUUGGUUUUAGAGUUGGCACUGAGAACCAGCAGGGUUUGCUCCGUGCACCUCGCUGCGUCUCUGGAUCCACCCUGCUGAUUCUGCUGCUGGCCUGAUGGGUUGCUAGGUACAUUCAGAGUCAGGCCGCGGUGCUGGUUUGAAAGUGGUGGUUAGUUUCUAGUCCGCUGGUGGCGAGCAAUCUUCGAACUGGUUGAAGCCAGUUAACUCGUUUGUUUCAAAUAGUGGACAAGGACUGCGGAGGAAGUCGGAGGAGAGAGAGAGAGAUAGAAGGUCCGGAGGGAAACGCGGUGACCGCGGGUUGUAGCAAAAGUAAUCGGCGCGUCUAGGUUUUCAUUUUCAGGUUGGAAAAUAAUCAGAAAUGGGACGACGGUGGCAGGUAGAAAUGGCGACGUUGAUGAGGAUAAUGGAGAAUCUCGUAACUUGAUAGGGUCUGAUCUCACGACAGGAGGAGGAGAAGGAGCGGGGUCUUUUGCCGCCGAUUUUCGAAUACUUGCGAAUUGUACCUACAUCCACAACCAUGCCGGAUCAUGGUCGCCUUGUCGCUCUAUUCUUCAUCUUUUCUUUGAUAUCGUGUCCCGUUCACGCUUUGACAGAGCUUGAACGGGCGAAAAGCAUGCUGCUGCAGAAGGAGACGGACCUCAGUAUCUUAGUUUCGCAGGUCCAGAAAAAUCACGAUGCCGUUCAACAGAAUUGUGGUACCUUGAAAAACUUAAACCCACAUGAGCAUCUCGUGUUUAGAUUUCCAUGUUUAAAAAUUAGCACUGUAAGUUCGUGAACGUCAGCACACUCAAGAUUCGUAAUCACAUUACCGAUCAAGAGGCGUUCUGAUCAUUUGGAUCAAUGAGCUCAUCAAUUCUGUCGUUGUUUAGUGAAGAACUAGAGUCAAAUGAUACACAACUGGCUCCUGAUGCUGUUUGUUCAUGUUUUAAAACUGAUUGUGAGCAGAUUCGCUAAAAAAUUGUGGUGAGGGUCCUGCCUGCUCUCGAUUAUCUUGUUUCAGCUAUUCCGGAACUUCCAGGUUGGACGACUACAAAUGCCAUCAUGUUUAUAACAACUCCUUCUGCCCAGUGGGCGGUGGGCCUUGCCAGUACAGGAACUUCGACUUCAGCCAAAGUUUUGUGAGGUCCUCAAUUAGACUUACAAAUAUCCCUUCCCCGCUUGACCGUUUCAUUGUGGUAUAGUCGCUGCUGUUACUUUCAUGUUGCAAUGGAGUACAUCAUCGUGGUGUGAGGAAGUGAACAUGACAGUGACAGAAUCAGUAGCUUCAGACUCAAAUUUAAGCAACGAACUAGAAGGACUGAAAAUCGUCUAGAGUAUGUUCAACCGUAAUGGUGGGGUUUUGGAGUGCAGGCGCGUCGUCGAUGACCCGGGUUCCAGACAAUCAAUAUGUGCGCAGAAGAAGUUGCAUAAUUACAUGACGAAAAUGUCGAAUGAUACGCAUUUCUUUCAAGCUUACUACGGAGCUAUUGAUGGCUCUUUCCGCUACUUCCCGGGAGCGGUACUCACUCGUACUCAAUGAUCUUCGUGCAAACGUCUUCGUGUGAUGAAUCUGACACGAUAUUGAUAAAGUAAAGAUUGAUUUGACACCCCAGCUUCUUUGUGUCGCAGGAUGAAGUGUCUUGCGAGCAGAUCUAUGAUCCAAGGAUCAGGCCAUGGUCAGCGUUUCGUACUUAAUUAUCCAGUGAAUUGUAACCUGUAAAUGCCACUAAUUUUUAAACUUUAUUUUUUACCCGCUCCUGUUUUCCUGCUUGUUCUGAUUAGGUUUAAAGUGUAUUAAAUGGCAGGUUCCGUGAAUCAAUACAUGCAAAGAAAUCUGUCGUUGUGUUGAUAAAUACUGGCUCCACGAUGACAGAUAACAUCAAUGCACAAAAUUUUACUUUGUUGGACAAGGUAAAGGAAAAGUUGAGCUCAACUUUUCCGAGAACCCUAUCAGGGAAGGACAAGAUAACCUUCAUGACGUUCAACUACAGUGGAUCUUACCGCUUAAAUCCGGAUCCGGUAAGUACGCGCAUUCUGGAUUAACAGUAUUCUGUGCACUUGCAUAUUUCUGCAGUUUUCAUCCUCUCGGGGCAGAAGAGUAGCACAUUGAGAGUGAGUGGAUGCAUGAAUCUGCGGUUCAAUCUGAGUUUGAUUUGUAAUGCUUGCUAUUCGACACACAGAGUGUACACUAACCUAGCUCGCACAAGUAUGUUGAUCAAGUGUGGGCUGGAUGCACAGUAUGUUGUGGGGUCGGAUGCUAAUACUCCAAAUGGUGAUUCCACCGUCGAGAAAUUAAAGAAUAUAGUGUACACUCCAGAUUUGGGGAUAUCUCUCACAGAUCCCACUGAAGUGAAUGCUACGAAUUCAAUUAAUGGCGCCAUCGACCUGCUAAGUAAAGACGAUCCUCAAUAUUUCAAGGUUCUCUAUUUCCAUUUUUGUACACUUUACAAUUAUGUUUUUUGCAUCCAGAUAUUUGAUCUGCAGUGAGUUGGUUGAACCCCGAUGGCUUGUCAGCUAGAUUAUAUGUCCCAGUAUUCUAGCUGUCUAAUUUCCUCGCAUGACGUGGUUCUAGGCUGGUGGAAAGUUUCUGAAGAGUCUACCUUGAUCUAUUGUUGUAAAUGACAGGUCAUACUGAUGUUCACUACUGGCAGCGUCCGCAUUCCGCCGAACAUCACGUUGGACUCGAGUGUAAGAUUGUUCAUUUACAAUCUGGACACCGGCAGCAACCAGAGUCCGAAUGAGUGUUCCGUCGAUAGAGUGCAUUUUGAAGAUCUCAACUACGUUGCUUUCGAUAAGAAUAUUCUAUUUGCCUUACGGGCAUACUUUUCGUGGUUUGGCAACAUCCAUCGGCUGAUAAUGAAUUCAUCUAAGGAUUAUAGUGAACAAUACUCGGAUUACAGUGGAGUCGACGUAAACACAUUCACACUGAGCGUACCAGGUACGCAACAUCCAAGUCUCGGUGAGUGCGUCGAGUAGCAAAUAUUGUCUCGUGAACUACAUAUUUUGUUCCAACGUAAAUCAUGCAGGGAUUGUGUUGUCGCCCUGCGUAAUAGCACUCACAUUCUUUCGUCCACUGCCAGUUUUCGCGUUGACUGGGAACCAGCUUCUCGGUGUUGUCGGCGUGGAUAUCUUCAAAACUGAAACUGCGAAUGACUACGGUUUCAGAGACCCGACCACGCUGACAGCCGCUGUCACUGGACGCUACAACCAGUCGACUAGCACCUCCGAUGGUUACGAUGCGUCCACGAUGAUCAACGUGCCCAGCGUGUGCUACACUCCGGUAAGCCCCAGACACAUUCUCGCUCAACUCGCACGUGCUGCUUUUCAAUCACAAGGCUACGUUGUUAUCAUUACAAGUUUGUACGCUACCAGCUAUCGAAAUGCCAGAAUCAGGAAGUGAAAAGCGCAUCUGCUCUUGUCCCAACUUGUGCUAACCUCUCACUCACUCACUCACUACACUAAUGACUUCAUCAACGAUGCAUUUUGACACUCCUUAGAUUAUGCUAUUGUUUUUGCGUUGGCAGUACACCAUCUGCGCAGACUCCAUAAUCGACGAAAACAACAUAUGCCUACCCAAUCCCGAAAAUCACGACAUGAAAGUCAGCUGCUGCGGAGCCUGCAGCCCAAAGAAAAACUCCCUGCCCAUUCGCUUAAUCGCCGGUUUGACAGCCGGUGGAGUGAUCACAAUAGCGUUCUUGGCAUGCUUGUGUUGCUUCUGUCAGAGGCAGAUCGAAGAGAAAAAGCGAAAUAAAGCUAUUAGAGAUAUACGUAUUUUUGAGCCACCUGCAGGAGCGGGUGCACGAUCCACUGGCACUGAGGACCCCCCUACGGGCACAGCUCCCCAUUCGCGGAGACACGCCGCGGCCGCCAUUACCUCCGAGACCUAGAGCCUACGUCCCAAGCCCCAACAACAGUGUCGGUGUCGGUGGUGUUCAUGAAUCAUGGCUCACCGACUAGGUGAUGAUGCCUCUCCGAGCAAGUAUCGGCAGCACUUUGCUGAAAUGUGUUGUUUAGUCUCAGGUCUUGAUACUUCCUUUUUCUUCUUUCUAUCUUCUACAUUGCUUCUUUGCUUCAUCCUCUUUGUUUUUUUAUUUUUUAUUUUUAUUGAGGAAUAGAGAGCUUGAAUUUUGAAUAUCCGGUGUCGUGUAUUUGUAUGAUGUCUUCAUGUGAAGGAAGAUCAUCGAAUUGGAUGCUUUUUUAAUGUCUUGGAAUAGGAUUGUUGUCAUACUGUAGUGGAGAAGAUAUUGGUAUUUUGUUGAGGCGUAUGUAUAUCUUAGUCCAAUUUGAGUAUUUUGCAUUAAUUUGUUUUGGAAUGAUUUUGUGUAGGAUUGCGAAAUUUUGUUACGGUUUCUGCGAUUGUGCUUUUAGAUUUCAAAGCAGUAUGUGAUUAUGGAAUGUUUGCAGAAGUUCUUUGAUUCUUUGUGGAGUAAAAAAAGCUAUAAGGUUAAUGAGAAGUGAUGGAUUCCCAACAAUCGCACAUUUACGCACUUCGUAAAUAGGUCAGGCGAUCUCUGUCAUGUGCCUUGUUUUAUGAUUUUUUGUCAGAAUCGUUGAUAGAUUUCAUUUAAUUAAAAAGUUUGUUCAAUAAGAUGACCAAGCAGCCAUUUUAUGUGUCUCUCAAUACUAACUAAAACCUGAUUUAUUUACUCAGAUGCAGUGUUUAGGAUAUCAUUAAAUAUGAUGGUGAGUUUUAAUUUUACCGAUUAAUUCCGAACAUCUUGAUGUAUGUUCUGAUAUAAAAUUUGUUGUUCUCCGAAUAGCAAAUAUGGUAGUUCUUAGACACGAAUGCCAAACAUUGUAUUAUUACUGAUUAGAAAUGCAUUGAAAAUUCGAAAUGUACUUAAAUGAACUCGAGUCAUAACAAAGACAACUUCCAUAUAUAUAUAUAUAUAUAUAUAAAUACAUAUACAAAAUAAAUAAUUGUUCAAAAAUAAAUUUAAUAUUACCAUCUACAUUAUUUUUUUUCUUUUAUUUCAUCAAUAAUUAACAAUGUUAUGUUUUUUUACAAGCACCAAAAUAUUCAAAAUAAUUUAAAAUAAUCAUUGAGGUAGAAAUAAAAUAUAUCAAAGUGUAUAGUAAUAUAUUAAUAAACUAAUGAAACCUAUUUAGCAAGCUAAAUAAUUAUUUAAUUAUCACAAUAACCUUAAAUCAUUGAUAUUUGUAUAUAAUAGAGACGGUUUUGAGAUGAAAACAUAUGAUUAAAAGCAUUAUAAUCUUUAAAAUUUGUACAACAUUUUUAUUAAGCUAGUGAUCUUUUUUAUUCCAAUUGGUUAAACCAAGCUUCAAAUGGGGGUUAAGAGCUAAGAGUAGGGAGGAGAGGUUGAAAAAGGAAGAACAAGGAAGAUUGGUAAUGGGAGAUAUGGAGUAAAGAGAUAGGGCUAAAAAUAGGAAUGGAUAUAGUUCAAGGUGAGAUAGAAUUGAUUUUAAAAACUUUAAAUUUAUAAUUCUAAAUAAUUCUAACAACCUUAAUUAAUUAGUGAUUUUUGUAGAUAGAUAGAUACUAUAUAUAUAUAUAUAUAUAUAUAUAUAUAUAUAUAUAAGUUAAUUAAUGUAUUUAAGUUUGAGUAUAUACAAAAAAAAACUAUUAAUUAUUACAUAUAUAUGUAUAUGGAUACUUAUAAAUUUCUAUUAAUAAUAUUAAAUUUUGAGAUUUUUAUUUAAAGUAUAUGUGAUGAUAUUUUUAUGUAUUAAUUAUAGAAAAAUAUGAAAAUGAUCUAACCAUUUACUAAAUUGAUCCACCUUAUUGUUACCAUCAUUUGAAACAUAGAUCAUCUUUAGAAACUAUCAUUACAAUCAUGGCUCUCAACUCAAUUGUCCUUGUUUUCUUAGCUCCUAUUUCAUAUGUUUAUAAUUUUCUUCAUCUCCCCCCUCUAUCCCCCUCUUUGCAUUCUUAGCCAUAAAAGCCUCAAUUGAGAGUUCUUCUCAACAAUAUUUUGAGGGCUCUACCUCCUCCUCCUUUGUACUCAACUUGCUUGAUGCACCUCAUAUUACACCAUUGUCUCUCUUCCCUCUUUUCCUUUCUUUUUUCAAGUGCGUCGCUUAUUUAUCUUACAAACAUUUUUUUUUUUUUUUUUUUUUUUUUUUUUUGCAUUAAUUGUUAUCAUAUGGCUUAUUUUGGUUUUUUAUUUUAUUUUAUCAUUUUUAUUUUGUUGCCAUUAGAAAAGACUUCAAUUUUUGGAUGUGAUUUGCUAUGGACUUUUUUUUGGUUAAGUAUAGUUAUCUUAUGGCUUAAGUUACAUGUGUAUUAGAAGGUAGUUUUUUGUAUAUUAUUUUAAAGUUUUAUUUGAAAGAUAUACUAUGAUGAGGUGAGUCUAAUUGGCAUGCCAUAUCUAAUUUUAGAUACAAAUGUGAUUCUUGCAUAUUGUGUGGAGUUUUUAAGUGAGAUUCUUUUGUUUUGGGAUCCUCUUAUGGUAUUUGUUAGAAUGGUUUGGGUUGGAUAUUCACUUGGUUUUGUAACAUGUUUGCCUUAGGUUAGUAUCUUUAAUCAUGGCUCUAUGCAAUUAUAUUUUUUGAAGUAAACAAUUUGGUUGCAUAUUUGGUUUGUAGGUCAUUAUGUCAUGAUAAAUAGUAGUAUGGAUGUAAGUUUGAUAUAUGUUGUGAGUCCUCUUAAGCUUGAAUCUUAGAUAGAUACCUUUUCUCACCUUAUUAAUGCAAAAUUAAGUAUAAUUUAAUUACACUAUAAGAUCUUUCUUGAGUUUAAUGAAUUUAGUCCAUUAUGAAUUUAAUUCAAUCUAAGAGCCAUUUAUAGUUCAAGUUUGCACUAUCCAUUGCUACCAAAGAAAAUUAAAAAUUCUAUCUACAAAAUCCAACACUAUAACUUAAUCAGGAUCUUGCAUUUGACAUACCAUCCUAAGGACUUUAAAUGUCCUUCUAAGAUUAAUAAAAAAUCUUUGAAAUUCAAAAAUCUCUUGAAAAUUUUAGAAAAAAAAUGAAGUUUGCAACUUACAACCAUGACCUUCACAACUUUGGAUUCUCGUCGGAAAUGAAAAAUGCUCUUUUUAAAGUACCUUGUACAUAUCCCUUCAAGAUUCUUUAUGAACUACCACCACUAUACUAACUCCUUGAUCUUGCCACUAUGAUUUAAGAAAAUAAUCCUCGUCACUAUUGUCACUUACAAAUAGCAUUCAUGCCUCUAGAUCCAAUAAGUUUGAAUGUACAUUGUAAAAACUUCAUUGAGAGCUUAUGCAAAAUAAAAAAGUCUCAUGAAGAAUUUGAUUGAGGCUCAUAUAACUAAGAACAGGGAGAAACAAGGAGGAUCAAGAAGAAAGCUGAGAACAAAGGAUGAGAGGGGUUGGAAUGAGAGUUAGUAAUGGGAGAAGGGAAGGAGAUUGAGAUGAAGAAGGCAAAAAAUGGAGGAAAUAGAGGCUAUGAAUAAGAGAAGUGGGAAUGAGGGCCAUGAUUGUAAUGAUGGUUUAUGGAGAUGAUCCAUCUUUCUAAUGAUGGUUACGACAAGGUGGAUUGGUUAAAUAAAUAGGUAGGUUAUUUUAACAUUUUUCUAAUUAUAUUAAUUAUAGUCAAUAUAGUAUGCACAAUGAAGUUUCAAUAAGCCUAUUUUUUAUUUUUUAUAAAUAUGUAUGCUCAAAAUAACGUAUUUGAUGAUAUUUAAGAUAAGACUUAUUAUGUCAUUUUAAUACCACUUAUGUAAUUAGUUAUUUAUUCCUUGACAAAUUUUUAUUUGUGUAGUUGUUCAUUUGCUAAUUUUGAUAACAUUCAUUCAAUGCCAACAUGCUUUACAAUGAUUGUGGAUUGCAUGAUUAUCUGUAUUAAUUGAGAAGAAAGUUUUUGUAGGAUUUGAAAAUUUUAAAUCAAUUAAUGCAAUAAAAUAUUAUUUAUUUUUUGGUCCUCUUCGAAGCUGCAUACGCAACCUUGGGCAGCAUACCCAUUCACACUGCCUCAGAAGCAAAAGAGCUGUAGGGUCUGCUUAAACCCGUAACCCUAAUUCUGUCUGUUGCUCCGCUCGCGACCUCUGGAGUUGCUGUUUUCGAUCUGUUGCACUCGCGAUGGCCGACCUCGAGGCUCCGCAGGUGGUUCUCCACACCACCAUGGGCGACAUCACAGUCGAGGUAUCUCUUCGAUCCUUUACCGUCUUAAAUAAAAAUUGGGUUCCUGAGAUUUCGUCAUUGGCGUCGCCUUCUCAUUCGAUGAGCUGAGCGUCGAUAACUACAAGGAGGUUAUGCGAUCACAUUCUGGAUUAUUCAGAGAUGAUCAAGCCACAUCCCCGCAGGUUUCUGUGGGUUUUAUCGAAAAAUUUAUGCGAGUUUUUGAUGUUUAAGUAAGGGUUGUUUACAAAUUUCAUAGGCAUUGGCUUAGGUUGCAAUGUCUAGGAUGGUUGUGGGUCUGGAGGAAGGCACUUACGAGCCAUUCUUUCUAAGCAUCCAUGGAUUUCACGUCUUGCGAAUCGCUGAACAGUGUGGGGUAAGAAACCCCCCCAAUAUGCAGAAGUUAAGGAACGAUUUUGUUUUUCUGUAUGCAGCUGUACAUGAAGCAUGCGCCCAAGACGUGCAGGAAUUUUAUGGAGCUUUCACGCAGAGCUUACUACAACAAUGUUCUUUUCCACCGUGUUAUUAAGGUCAGUCAUGAGGAGGUUUCUUCGGUUGCGUACUGUUUCCAACUACUUUCCCUGCACCGUUUCAGAUGAGCAUAUUCACUUGGUUUGUGUUUAUGUAUUAGUUCGUGGAAUGUAUUUUGCAGAUCGCUUACUGGUUGGUUGCUUUUUGAAGGUUGUGGUGAGCUAUAACAUGCUGCUCGUUCUUACAAAUCUUUGUUUUUGGACUGAAUUUUUUUUGGGUUGUUAACAGAAUUUCAUGGUUCAAGGUGGGGAUCCGACGGGCACUGGGAGAGGUGGAGAAUCAAUUUACGGGUACAUGUUUCUAUGAAAAAUUCUGAAAGAUCCGUUGUUGAUCACAUAUAUGUUGCUUAUUACCAUCUGGCGCUUCAAGUUUUAACUCGUUUCAGGUUGUGUUGUAGAGAUUGCCGUGUGAAAGUCGUUGAUUCAGUCAAUGACUUGAUCUUCAUUUUGUAACCACUUGAACCUCGAAUGUUUAAAUCCCAGUUCUUUGAAACAUGGAGCUGACUCUUGUAAAGUUUCGUCCUAUUUUGGAAUGAAGAAUUGCGAUGCUAGCAUGUAAACUUCUUAGAGCAACCCUAGAGAAAUGGUGCUUCUGUUUGUGGCGCAUCAAAUACUGGACUUAGAUGGUACUUCUGUUGUGGAGCUCAAGCUACAGAUUCCAAGCGUAGAAAAGAAUGCAGAUGUAUGUAAUCUCAUGUAUCUGUGCCUUCGUGGUUAAAUGCAGGUCAAAAUUUGAGGAUGAAAUUAGAAGGGACUUGAAGCACACUGGAGCAGGCAUUCUAUCUAUGGCAAACUCAGGCCCUAACACUAAUGGCAGCCAGUUUUUUAUAACUCUUGCGCCGACACCUUGGCUGGAUUGUAUGUCAUCUUUCGACUCUUCUUUUGGAAAUUUUUACUCGAAUCAGAUUCUUUUAUCUAAGACGUAUAUUCAACGUAAACUCUGAGGCACAUAUAAAGGAGGUAAUGCCUCUGAAGAGUGCUUUAUGUUAAAAAUUAAUACUUGUUUUCUGUUGCAGCAAAACACACGAUCUUUGGUAGGAUUUGCAAGGGAAUGGAUGUGGUUAAGCGCCUUGGCAUGGUUGAAACCGACAAACAUGACAGGUGAGUGAAGAGAGAGUAACUUUAUAUCAACAUAAUGUCUGUUUGUUAGGGACGAUGCAUAAUAGAAACGUAAGAAAUAUAACACUUUUCUGUUUGAAUAUCAGUCUUCGUUUUGAUAUAUAGAACAUAUUCCGAAGCUUCAAAACAGGUUUUGAAUUUCUAGGAAGAUGGAUAUAUGUCAGCUGCACAGAUCCGAUUUGUAAAAACAUGUUUGGAUUAGAUUAAGUGGGUGAUGAAGUAGUACGCAGUCAAUUUUUCUGCAUACUCUCGCCUGGGGCACUCGACUGAAGGCUACCUUAGUAUCUCUGUUUUGAACGUCGUGUCAGUGGCACUGUUUUGACUACUGAUGUUCGAUCUUACUAUUUUUAAAUUUUCAACUUUAAUUUUAAUGUUAUAGAACGUUGGAUUUCAUUUCAAUAACAUUACCUUUAUUCUUACGUGUGUCAUGAUGGUAUGAUAUGGCAGGCCCAUUCAUGACGUGAAAAUUCUGAAGACGUCGGUUAUCGACUGAUUGCAGGUUAUCGGAGUGCUCAUCAAAGUUUUGUUUAGUUUUUUGUUUUGUAUUUUUUCAAACACUUCCUAUGACGCUCUUCCUACUCCCUCGUCUGGAUUUACACUUACACUGAGUGUACAUGUACUGUGGGUUGCCUACGGUCCACAUGUAUGACAGCAAGUGUGCUGAAGUCAGAAUUCUAUUAUUGCAAUCAAAUGGGAUAUGUUGUAGUUGCGCCCUUGGGUGGUUAGGUUCAUCAGACCACGAAGUUCAACACUCUUGACACGAGUUCCAUAUCGUGUCUUCAUGUGGAAAAUAUUUCAUAGCUGCGCACUCUGCAAAACCUGAGUCAUUAAAACUUAAGGUUUCAAAAUCACUAAGCUGAAGAAGUUGCUUCGUAUUUAAUUCUAGUUAUUUAAGGGGAAACAACCUGACUAAACGAAAUCGAAAUCUUUCCAUUGUACGCAGAGACUCUUCGAAAUGAAUAUUCUGAUUUAAUUUUAAUCCGAGCUUCAUGGGAGGAUGUUAGUCGAUUCUAGUGUAUGCUUUUUGACAUUUUCGUUCUUUUCAAUAGUUCCUAUUGCUUACUCCUACUCCCCACUUGUUCAGUGGAAGGUGUCAUUAUAUCUCUUGGUUAGUAGGUUGCUUUUGAUUUGAGCAUUGUUCCUGAAGACUUUGUCAAUUUCAUGUAUUUUGCUUCCAAUUAUGUUAGUCUAUAAAGUCUUGUAAAAAGUCCCAGUACGUGAAAUUUGUCUUGCGAAUCUUAUCUAAAUUCAAUACAGGACGUGCUUUUGAGAGCCUUCCAACGUCUAUGACGGGCCAUAAAUUUUGGAAUUUAAGAAAAAUGUAGAUAGUAUGCUGCCAUAUGUGUUGCUUUGAAACUUUUUUUGAAUGCUUUUUAAGUCUUUUCUUGGAAAUCAAUGUUUAACAGAAUAACGAAGAGUCUAUCUUUUUAUUUGAUUUUUCAAAUAUGUUGUCUCCAUGAAAUAUUAUGUUGAUGUCCGUUGAUACCAGUUAGCAUCAAGAUUUUUUUUCAAAGUUGUAAUGUCAUGCAUUCUAACAAUAAAUUUAAUUGUAGUUUAUAGACAAAAAUAAAUAUUUAUUUAUUUAUUGGAUGAAAAGAAUGAAUGAAACUUUAAUCGAUUUCAAAAACAUAAUAUAUGGUUCUUUUUGUUUAUCACAAUAUUUUUAACCUUUCUAACAAGAAUGAAUGAUCUUACUAAUUUUUUAAAUUUUUUGCAUAUAUAUAUAUAUAUUUUACUUAGUGUUAUUAUUACUUGUAUUAUACUUUGAAUUAUAAAGUCCAUUGUUAAAACAUCCUAACAAUGAUAUUAAUGAUUUAUUAAUACUUAUUUUUUAUUUUUAUUUUUUUGAUACAAAAAUAAUGUAUCUCCAAUGUAUUAUUGAAGUGGUAAAAGUACAAACUAAACUUCUUUUAUUCCAAAGGCAAAGCUUGUAAUACCAAAAGAAACUACUAGUUACUAAAGCUAAUUUAAUUAUACUUUUGAGUAAAAUCAUACUACAUUUAAUGGCUUUGUCAUCUUUAGAACUUAAUAUGUAUUUUAUCAAUUAUGAUUUAUUCUAUUUUCUCAUCAAGGUAGUUUCAUGUUUUGGGUGUUUUGUCAAUUUGUUUUGACAAAAUUUGGUAGAAAUUUGUCAAAACAAAAGAUUAGAAUUUAUCUUUUCUCUUAAAGUACAAAUUAUCACAUCUUUGUGCUAUAUAAGUCAAAUGAACAUUGUCUCUUUACAUUAAUGGAAGUAGGAUCAAAUAUAAUUCCAAUUAAACAACAAGUCUUGAUCUAAUAGUAAAUUCCAUUUGCAUAUCAUUAGAAUAAUAGUAGUUAUAUUACUUUAAAAUAAUUUUUUGUUAAGUUUGGUAAAGUAUAUUAUGAUUUCUUCUCUAGUAACAAACAAAUAUAAUAGAAGAUCGAAGGUUAAUUUACUAAUUAGAUUGUAGAAGUCCAUACCAAAUUCUUCUUUUCUUAUUGGCUUUAUUCUUAGAACAACUCUAACAAUUUUCAAAAAACUUGUUAAUUGAUUUUUAUUAUAUACUAAGUUAUAGUUGUCAUGUUUAAGAGAAAGUUUUUCAUCCAAGUAGAGAGUUCUAAAUUAAAUGUCAACUUAAUAAAAAAAACAUUUUAGAAGGUUUAGGUAAGACAAACCAUUUGUUUUCUUUUAUACCUAUGUAUUUAGUACAAAGUUGGAAUAUGGCUUUUGGGCAAUGAUUUGUCACCAAUUUAUAUAAGCCAAUCCAAUUGUGGGAUUUUAGUAGAGCAUUAUAGUCUAGUAAGUAUUUCUAAGAAUUAGAAAAGUGAAUAUGAAAAAAGUUCCAAAUAGAACCAUAAUGGUAUAGAAUUUGGUAUGUGGAUAUUACUUUUAUAGUAAAAGAAAUAAUACUUCUUUAAAAAGAUUUUUAUUAUAAUAAAGAUUAUUUGAAUGUAAGAUUGUAACUUAAUAGGAUUAUAAACGAAUAUCAAUUAAUAAAAAUUGAGAAUCCUAGUGUAAAAAAAUUCUUCUAAACAUUAUAAAAAGAAAUUGGAAGAUUAAGCCAAAAGAAAUUAUACAUUUGUAUCCACAUCUUUUCAAUUUUGUUUUAGAUUUUUGGCCCACUACUCUAUUUAUGAUUUGAAAUGAGUGACUAGACAAGAUUUGAUAUCUAUAAGCCAUUGAUUUAGUGUUUAUCAUUCUAAAUUGGAAAAAUUAUCAAAUAUUUGUAUGACAUAGUUGAAUGGCUUUUUCUACUUAUUUGGACAAUAAUAACUAAGUAACUUCUUUUAGAUCAAUGAUACUAAGACCACCAUCUUCACAAUCCUUAUAAAAAAUCAACUAUGUCACUUUGGACUAAAUUAAAGAAAUAGUGUACCAUCAUAAGUUUUUAAUUAUAGAUAUAAUUUUACAAAUAAUCUUCGUCAAACAAUAGUUUAAUUUGGAUGUAGUUCUAUAGAUCGUGUAUGUUUAAAGAAAUACCAAAAGAAGCACCUAAUAGUUUACUAAUAUUUCUAUAGGAUGUCCAAAUCUAUUCAAAUUUAUUUGUUUAUGCUUGUUCAUUAGAUUUUUUCAAUUACCAAUAGGCAAAACAUUUAGCCCAAUUAAUAUUAAGACUAAAAAUCAAGCUAAAAUUACUUUAUUUUUUUCUAUUAAAUAGAUUUUUUUUCAUCUUUUCUUUUAACAAUAAUAAUAGAGUCAUCUCCAUAUUAACUUAUGACUUACUAAUGAGGGCUCUAAAUAUAUACAUAUAUAUUUAUAUAUAUAUAUAUAUAUAUAUAUAUACAUUCUAUAGAUUAUGAUUUUUUAUUGUAUUCUAAAUAAUAAUAUUAAAUAUUUUUUAACCAAGUUAUAGAAAAAUGGUCCUAAUGUACAAUCUUGUUUCUUUUCUCUUUCUAUUAGAAAAUAUUUUAUAAAAUUAUUAUUAAUGGAAACUAUAAUACUUACUCUUUGGAAGUUAAUUUUGAUCAUAUGAUAGAAAGAAUCAUUAAAAUCAAGUUUUUCUAAGACUUUCAACACAAAGUUCUACAAUACUCUAUUAUGUGCUUUAGAAAAAUUAUUUUUUUUAUAAAAAAAUAGAAUAUUUUGAUAUUUUAGUUAAUUUUAUGGUAUCCUGAGUAAUAAACAUAUUAUGCAGGAUAAACCUUAGAAGAAAAAAUAUAAUUUGGUGAGAACAAAUUACCUCCAUAAGUACUAAUUAAAAUAUUUUUGGAAGGAUUUAAGCAUAAAUAGGUAGUAUUAAGUGACGUAAUAGGAUUUUAGUUACCAAACAUAGUUUUAUCAUCACCUUUGUAUAAGAGAGUAAUAUGGCCUUUGACAAUACUAUUGAAAGACUGGUCAUUAGUUAAAGUUUGAUUUACUAUUAAGAUAAAAUUAAUUUCAAUGAUAUAUUAAAUUUUUUGGAAGAGUUCAAUAUUAACACCAUUUGGACUUAGCACUUUGUUAUUAGUUAUAUUUUCAAUAAUGUUUUGAAUUUUUACAAAAUAAACGGCUUAAAAAUAUCACUAAUUAUUCUUUUUUUGAUUUUUUAACAAAUAUGUUGAUAAGAAGAUUUUUGACUUCUAUGGAUUCUAUGUUUUUUUUUUUUUUUUUUUUAAAGAUUAGAAAAGAGAUUUUUAAAAAUAAAUUUUAAAGUCUUAAGAAAUUCCUUAUAACACAGUUUUCAAGUUUUUGAAUUCCAUGAUACAAAAUUUAGAAUGAUUUUUUUAAAUAAAUGCAUAGAAUUCUUUGUCAAUGCUAUCACUUGUUUUUCUUUGUUUAAUAUUAAUACAAAUUAUUUUCUCUUAUUUUUUCUAAUUUUAAAUUAGUUUAAAAAUACUUGAAUAUUUUUACAAAAAAUUUGCAAGCCAAUAUGUUGACGAUUUUCUUAAAGAAUUACAAGAAUAAAAGAUUGCUAUACUUCAAAGAAUAAUUAAUGAUAUUUAUAUACUUCAAAUAGUCUACAAAAAAAAAGUGAGAUUUUAAAAAAUUCCAAUUUUUUUUAUUGAUUCUUGUAAGAAUUCUUUCACAAAAGAAUAUUUUGUCUUAUGAAUAUUCAACCAUAUUUUAGUCUCUUCCAAAAAUAUAAGAAAUAUUAGAAGAUAAUAAAUCUACUAAAUCUAACCAUAUUUAUUUACAUUCUUGAUAUUUAUUGAUAGCAUAGAAAUUGACUAUAGCCAUAGAAGAAUGGAGAUACUGUAAAAGGUGAUUUAAAAAAUCUUGUUGUGUAUAACAAAGCUAAUAUUGUGAAUCAAAUGUUUAAUCAAAAGAGAAAAUAGGAUGAAAAUUCUACUACUACCUACCUUAUUAAAAUUAUUCAUAUAGCUUGUUUAAACUUUUAAGAUAAAGAAGCAUAUAUUAUACUAUAAGAUUUAACUAAGGUCAGGUGUUCUUGAUCUACAAAGUUUAUGUUUUUUAAUAAGUUGUAUGUGACACUUAUAUAAAAUAAUUUAAAUAUAAUCGCACAAUUUUAACUUUUAAGGCAUUAUUUGAUCAUUUAUAUUAUAAGGGAUAGUUUUAAAAUUUAUAAAAUAAUAGAAGAAGAAAAUUUGUACUCUAUUGCAUCAAUUAUUAGUUGUCUUUUUAGAAAUUUGAAAUUUUCUUAGUCGUGUAAUGCUUGUCUUCUCUCACUCUAUCUUUGUAAUCUAAGAGAUCAGGUUGGAAAAAGAGCUCUAUAUUUGUUUCUAUUAUCAUUGUCCUCUGCAAGUUUAAAAUCAAUAUAGUGUAUAUUAACCAAAUGGUUUAAAUGAUUGCUUGUCUCCCUAAGAAUUGAAAUUCUAAGGCCACCAAGCUUGUUAUGAAAGAAUGAUGAAGCUUGUUUCUCCUUCUUUAGAGAAUUUGAUAUCAGGUUUUGACUCUUUUGGCAAUGGUGAUGGUUUUUGAUUUUAUUAUAGAAGCUAUUAAAUUUUGUUCAAUGGUCAAAAUUCCAUUAUAAUAGCGAUAUUGAAAAGAAGCAAUAUGGACUUGUGUUCAAGAAAGAAGGUUUCAAUCUUUCUUUCAAGCUCAACAAAAAUUAGUGACGGGGCUUAUAAAAAGACAUAGCUGACUUAUUGUCCUCUUAGGUGCACGAGGUCUAUAUGGUCAUAUAAUACAAAGUACUAUUUGUUUUCAUCUUAACAAUUGGUAUUUAACUAAAAUUAAUAUAAUAGUUAUAUAUAUAUACCUAUCUUAUAUAUAUAAUAUCUUAUAUAUAUAUAUAUAUAUAUAUAUAUACAUAUUAAUAUAUAUAUAUAUAUAUAUAUACAUAUUAAAAAUAUACUUUUAAUUUGUUUUGUUAUCUUCAUCACAAUUAUACCAUGUGUAUUAAACAACAAAUGUUAUGAGCUUUAAGUUUUUUAAUAUAAAAAAUUAAAAAUUAAAAAAACUUUGCAAAGAAUGGUUGUAGUUGUACUUUUGAAAGAAGGUUUUUGAAGAUUUUUUUUUUUUUUUUUUAAAUUACUAAGUAUUGCUUCAAGUUUGUGAUCGUUAUUUAUUUAUUUAUUUAUUUUAUAUAUAUAUAUAUAUAUAUAUAUAUAUAUAUAUAUAUAUAUAUAUAUUAAGAUUUAAAGCCAAGGCCCUCAAUAAAAUAAUAUUUAGAUUAAGCCAAAGAUUACACUUUCAAGCUAAGAGAAGCUCUAAUAUUAUAAAAUACUAAUCAGUAUGAUGAAUAGACACAAGCUAUAAUGUUGCUACAAGAAGAAUAAGAAAUUUAGGCAAUACUAGAAAUAUAUAAUAAAAGUGGAAAUUAACACUAUAUGAAAUUAUUUCUUAGUAAGAUAUUAUCAUAUAUAUAUAUAUAUAUAUAUAUAUAUAUUGUUAAAAUAAUAUAUUUAUUUUUGAUUUUUUAUAAAAUUUAUACAAGUAAUAGAAGUUGAUAAAGACAUAAUUUUUUUAAAGAUAGAAUAUAUAUUGAUCCAUAUAGUAAUUGUAUAUUUUAUUGGUAAAAAAUCUUGCAAUAAAAUAUUAAAAUAAUAAUUUCUAUAAUUAUAUUUUAAAAUAAUAAUAAUAAUAAUGAUAAUAAUAAUAAUAGAAAAAAAUAUUAAAAAAUAUAAAUUUUAAAUAAUUUUUUUAAAAACUUCAUUGCAAGAAUACUUCAUUUGUCAACAUAUUAUAUCUUUAUAAGAAUAUAAGAAUAAGAAAUACAAAUUUCCAAUUAUAGCCCAAAGGCAAUUUAAAAUCCAAACAUAGUUGAAGCAUUAGAUUCAAUUUAAGUUCCAACUUAGGUCAUAUUAAAGGAUUUACUUCAUUAGUUUCUAUAGAUUAUUCUAUAAGUAGUAGCUAAUUUUAAAAAAAUUAGAAGCUAGUUUAUAUAAUAGAAAUUUUAUAGAACAAAGAUUCUACUUAUUUUUUAAAUAAUUACGAAUUAAAAAUAAAUUAAAAUAACUAAUAUUUAAAGAAAAAAUUAAGUACUUAUUGUAAUAAUAUUUUUAUUUACUUUUAUAUUAUAAUUUCAAUCAACUAUGCUAUUUAUGUGAGAUUCUAAAAAAAAAAAAAUUAUUCAAAAAGUGUCUUUUUAAUUUAUUUUACUUUAAAAAAAUCAUUUAUACAAAAUUUUACAACCACAAAAAACUAUACUUCUUUAAAAUCUUGGUAUAUUUAAUAAUACUUCUAAGACAAGGUCUUUCUAAAACAUUUACCUUAAAGUUCCAAAUUAAAUUUGUAGAUAAGACUUUUAAGUGAAAUUUAAAAUAACUACAAAUAAUUUUUUUUAUAAUUGUUUGAUACAAUAUAAAUACUAAAUUAGAAACUAAAAUUUGGUUUUUUUUAAAUAAAUUUAAAUAUUUUAUCAAUUCAAAAAUUUUAAUUUUAAAAUAAUAAGUCUUAUAAAAGAUUUAAAAUAACAUAAUAUGAUUAAAAUUAUAUUAAUUAUUUUUAAAAUAAUAUUUUUAGUAUUUUAUAGUUACUAAAAAUAUUUUACACUCUGAUAAUGUGUAAUAAGUUUAAUAUUCUAAAUAAAUUUUAAAAAUAUUUUUUUAAAAAAAGAAAAAAAAACAUGUUAAUUAUUCUUAAUAAAAGACUUUUCUAAAUAAGAUAGUGAAUAUAUUAAAAUAUUUGUUGCAAUAAAUAAAAUAAUAACUGAAUAAAAUAUUUUAAAGACUUUAGUCAAUUAAGUAAAUUUCAAAAAAAGAACAAUAUGUUUACUUAUAUCCACAAAAUUUUUGUUAUACUAUGAAUUUCUAAAAGAACCUCAUUCAAUACCUUUACACGACCUUUAAUGAUAUUUUCUAUUUCUUCAUACAUGAAAAGUGUAUAUAUAUACAUUUCUUAUACAAAUAUUAGUACAUUAAAGAAGUAGAGGCUAUUAUAUCAUAUAACACAAAGAUUUCAUAAUCAUUCAUUUAUAACUAGUCAUAUAAUUUUAAAUCAACAAUCAUAAAUAUUUACAUAUUUUUUAUUUUUUGAAUAAAUAAAUUGAAUUUACAACCAAAUAAAUAUUUUUUAAAAUAACAAAAGCUAUAAAAAAUAUUAAGAAGGUUAAAGACAAGCCACAAAUAUUAUUGCACCACAUGCAAAUGCCAUAGAACAAAAUUCAAUUCUACAUUUUAUUUGUAAUCAAAUCAAAAUUAUUCUAUUUAAUUUCUUGAUAUUUUUUUAGAUUGCAUAUUAUUAUAAGAGAAAUAGAAAUAUUUUAUUUACUUAAAUUUAAUUUAAAAUAAUUAUUAUUUAAUAUUAAUUAUAGGAUUAUAUAUUUAAACACAUACUUUUAAACAUGGUGUUAUGAAAAUAUUUAAUUAUAUUAUUCUUGUAGUGAAUUUUAAUAAAAUAAAUUAUAGAUUAGACAUAGCUAAUAAUUAUGAUUUUAAACUAACUGCCAAUAAUUUAGCAUCUAAUUUAAUUUAUAGAUUUAAAUAACUUGAUUGAUAGUUAGUAGAAAGCAUACAGCCACCAAUACAAAAGCAAACUUUGAAUCGAAUUAUUCUUUAAUAUGCUCCAAUUUUAAUAUAUAAAACUUAUACAAAUAUUACUAUUUUAAAUAGUGAUCAGUUUUAAUUUAUUAACAUUUCAUUUUUUAUUUUAGUUUAUUUCUUAGUAAAAUUUGGCUACAUGUUUUAAAAACUCAAGGUUGAAUUUCUUUUUAACAAGAAUAUUAUUUCUAAUAAAUCAUUAUGUAAAUAAAUCUAAGAAAAGUAAAAUAAAUAAAAAAUGAUAACUUGAAUUAGAUUAUAAUAGCCAUUUAUUUUUUAAAAAAUAUAUUAUUUACAUUAUCAUUAAUAACCUGGUAUAUAAGAUUUUAAAAAUUAUAACAUAUCAAAUAAUUAAAUUAAAUUAAAUUCUAAAAAUAAUUCUAAAAAUAAUUCUAAAAUUAUUGAAAAGAAUAAACAUCAUAACACAUAGGUUUUAAAAUGUAUUAAAAUUUAAGAUAAAAAUGAGAAUUUCACUAAUUUUUUUAAAAAAAAAUAAUGGUUUUUUAUUUUAAAUUAUCAUGAAUAAGAAAAUUAAACAUAUAAAUAAUUUAAAACUUUCUAUGUUGAUAAUUUUUUUAAAUUAAAACUAUUUUUUUUGGUAUUUAAUAAAAUCUAAUAUAAUUUCAAUUUUUAGUUAAAUUAAGAUUUAUUUUUUUAAUUUGUUAUAUAUUGUAUGCUUAGAAAUAAUCUUGUAUAUCACAUUUAAUACUUUUACAAGCAUCAAAAGUAUUAUAUAUAUAUAUAUAUAUAUAUAUAUAUAUAUAAUAUCCUUUUUAUUAAUUAACAUCAUCUAUCGUAGGAAAAAUAAUAUUAAUUAUCUAAGGUUAUUAAAUAUUAAAGGUAGUGUAUUAAAGGCAAGACCAAAAUAGAUCCUUGAUAGGGCCCUACAAUCUUAAUUGUUUGUUUUUUCUUUGGUGACGAUGUAGUCAUGCCUGCCCCAUGGCCUUACCGACCAUGUGGCCCUUUUUAAUUACAUUUUUUAAUUGGCAAAAGUAAAAAAAAAUCAAUUAAUUAUUAGAAAUUGAAGGUUAUUAAUUCUGCACCAUAAAAUAAAGUUGGCUACCAAGGUUUUAAUUGAUUAUAAGGUAUUAUUAGUUUUUAAUAGAUUAAUUACUAUGAAGAACAGUGUAAAUAUUAUGUGUGUGUGAAUGAAAAAUAUUAAAUUAUUAAAUUUAGAUUCUAAAAUUAUAUAUAUAUAUAUAUAUAUAUAUAUAUAAUUUAUUCAAUAAAAAAUAAAAUGAUCAUAAAAAUAAUAAUCUAAUAUAUUACAAAUAUUAAAAUUAUAUUUUUAUAUGUCACUAAUAAUAAUUUAUUUAAUAUGGAAUAUUCUUAUUUAAAAUUUAAUUUUUAAAUUUUAUCUUGGUACUAUUAGAAAGUAAAAAAAUUAUUUUAUUUUCAUGCAACUUAAAUAGAUCUUUAAAUUUAAAAGUUAUAUAUAUUGUAAAUUUAUUUUUUAAUAUGAUUUAUGUAUCUUUUUCUUGUAACUCAUCAAAUUUCAGAAACUUUAAAACAUUUUAAUCUUUGUUUUAUGGAUUUUAUUAUUUAAUGUUCUAUAAUGUUUGUGAAUACAAUAUAAUUAUAUCUAGUUAGAUUGCAAAUUAUAAAAUUUGAAAACACACAAAUUUGGAUAUCCUAGUAAAAGGAAUAUUUUAGAGUACUUAUUAUAAUCAUAAUAUACUAAUCUCUUGGUUCUUCUUAUUUAGAAAUUUGUACAGUAUAUAAGAUUUCUUCUUUUUUAAAUAUUUUUGUGUUACAAAAUGUGGUAAGAUACAUUUUUUGAUAUCUUGAAAUUAAUAAUUUUGAAACUCGUCAGUAUUUUUAUUAGCAGUCUUUCUAUUAUUACAAGGGCUAAAUAAUAAACAGUUUAUAAAUGGUCAAAACAUAAAUAUGUUUACAAGAUUCUUGUUUUAUUCAUUAAAUUAUUGUUAAAAUACAUAAACUUAAUUCUUCAUCUCUUUUUUCUAAUUAUCCUUACAAACUAAAUAUAAUUAGAAUAAAUUAUUAUAUUUAAUAAGUAAUUUUUAGUAAAAGUUUUAAACAUCACAUUUUACUAUUAAUUUAUUUUUGUGUGUUUCUUUAAACUCUUAAUAUACCCAUUAUAAUCACAAUAUAUAAAUUAUAUUAAUAAAAUAACAUUUAAGACAUGAGAUUGCACCAAUAAAAAAUGUAUACCAAAAAUUUACAUAUAUAUUAAAUUAAAUUAAAUUAUAUACUAUAUUAAUGUUAAGUUAACUCAAUUGAUUUUUUCAUCACUUUAAUCACAACCAUAUUUGUAUGAUACAAGGAUAAAUCUCAUAUAGUCUUUUGAUAGAAAACAGGUGAAGUAGGAAGGCAGUAAGUAAAUUUUUUAACUAAAAAAAAAUAUUACCAUAUAUGUAUGUGUAUAUAUAUAUAUAUAUAUAUAUAUGUUUUUUUUAUUCGUUUUUUUUUUUUCAAACCCCAACAUUAAAGAAUGUAUAGAGAGGGAUAUACUUAUGUUUCAUUUUCUUUCUAAGCACUAUGUAUGCACAUGACUGAUAAUUUUGAUGAUAAUAUUUUGGAAUUGAGUUUUCUGUUAAAUGAAUCUUGUAAUUUUUGGUUGUGAUUUUGUUUGACAAUAAAUCACCUAAUUUUUUUUUUUAUCAAGAAUAUAAUUAAAUUAAUCAUACAUUUUUAACUACUUCUUAAAUGGUGUAUUGGUUUUAAGAUUUGUUUACAAAUCUGCAACUGUAAACAUGUGUAGUUAGAGUUUUACUUUGUAAAGGAUGCUUAAUUGAAAUUUAACAAAAUAUUGGUUGGAAAUAAGUGUAUGAUUGAUUGUGUAUAUUAAUGACAAAGCUAGACUCACUCUUUGAGGAGGAUUUUGACGGAUUCUACCCACUUUGAAGUCAACUGUGCAAUUCUUUUUUCUUUUCACCUCUUAUCUUAAACUUCGGAGUUUAAAAUGACAAUGGAAAAAUAGUUUUUUGUAGGGUUGCAAUCAGUUUUGUGUAAUUUUCUUGAUUAUUUGUGUUUCCUUUAUAAUAGUUUAUUGUUGCUGGAUUUACAGAUGUCACUGCACAAAGUGUUCCUUCAAAAAUAAUGAUGAGUAUUAUUAAUUGUGUAGGUAAUAUGUUUAGCUUAAAAUUCAAUGAAUUCAUUUAUUAAGUAAUUGAUUAGCCAAAUCAAUGUUAAAUUUUUAUUUUUUUAUUUAUCUAAAAUUGGAAUUAAUUUUAAAAGUAUUAUCUAAUUUGCAAAGUUUUUUAAUAGCUUCUUUAAAUAACUUUUAAGUAUUUGUAAUAUGAACUUUGACAUGAAGAAUUCUAAACGAUUCAAAUUAUAAACCAUAUUUUGUAAAAAAAAUAAAAAAAUAAAAAUUAUAUAUAUAUAUAAGCAUGAAGUAAAACUAUAUUAAAAAAUAUGAAUAUAUGUUAAUCCAAUAGGAUUAAUAUAUAUAUAUAUAUAUAUAUAAACUUAAAUAAUAAUAAAAAAUGAAAUCUUAUAAGAUAGUAUUUUAUAAUUAAAAAUAGUACAAAAAUUAUUGAAAAUCAAUGAAUUAUACGAAUUAUUCAAGUUUCGAAGAAAAGAGACAAAAUAGAGAAUGAAAAUAUCAUCUUGUUGCAAAAGUAUAGUCAUUUAGUAUGGUACAUCCAACCUAAUUUUAACAUAAAGUGGACAAGGGCACAACGAGACUAUGACAAGCUCUUCCACUCUAGUGCAAGAAACUUUUGUGAGCUUCUGAAGACUAAUUUAUUUUAUUCAAUAAUAAGUUGUUGUCUCUAACCUUAGAUUAAUGCAACAAGAUCUGAGUCUAGUAGUAAUCUCAAACAAUACACUUUUUUAUCAGCAAUGAUAUAUGCAAUGCAUUAUAAUGAAUGUAUGAUGGCAUCAACAACAAUCCAUGCAUCAGCUCUAAAAAUGUUGUCAUAUGCCAUGAAAUAUACUUAAGAAUGCACCAAAUAUUUAGAUGUAGAAGAUAAAAUAGGAUUUGCAAUAAGAAAGUUCUAAAAACUUUAAUAGAAUUUGAAACAAACUCUAAUUAAAUUUUAACAAUGUUAAUCUAUCUUUAAUCAAAUCCAAAAGAAGUCUCAAUGAAAUUACAAAAGAAACAUAAAGAAAUUAUAAAUUAACCUUAAAGAUAUAUAUAUAUAUAUAUAUAUAUAUAUAUAUAUAUAAUAAAAAAAUCCUAAAAAAAGCCUAAUAUAAUUCUAUAUUAAAGAUAAGAAUUCAAAGAAGAUAUAUAAACAAGUGAAAAAUGAAUCAAAAAGAGAUGACAAGAAAAUAAGAAAAUAAAUAUAUUUAAUAAGAAACUAGAAUGGCUAUUUCCAAAUGCUAAAAAAUUAGAAAUUCUUGAAACUAGACUAAAAGCAAGAAAGAAGUUGAUAAAAGUGAAGAAGGAUUCAAUCUUGCUUUUAUAUAUACUAUCUAUCUAAAAGCUACGUAGCAAUGUUCUAUAGGAUCUCCAAUACGUGUUUAAUUUGUGAGAUAUAUGUCUUAACUCGAAAGGUAGGUUUUUUAUAAGAUUGCCUCAUCAUUAACUUAUAUCACAAGCUAUAAAUAUAUGUGACACGUGGCUAAUUUGUUGGCCAAGUUUCUAACCUAUCAAUCACCUAUAGACAUGUAUAAAAAAGAAAUUAUAUUUAUGACACUUCUAAAAAGCUUCUCAACACGAUAUUGUCAAAUUAAUUUACUUUUAUUUAUUUAUAUCUAUUUAUAUUAUCUAAAAAAGUAUAAGUAUAUAUAUGAUAUUAUCCCCUCUUAUAGAGAUGAGUUCCACAAAAAGCAAUGAUCACAUGUUGAGGAGAUCAAAGAUACAACAAAUUAUAUUUGUGACAUAGUUUGAUUAUGUUGUGUCAAGGACAAGAACUCGAUGAAAGCUAAAGAGUAAGUGAGACUUUUCUCAAAAAGAAAUAGGACAAAAUAGAAAUGUGUAUAUUAAGAAAGAAACUGGAAUGGCUAUUGCCAAAAUACAAGAAAACUAGAGACCCUUGAAACUAGACUAGAAGCAAGAAAGGAGUUGACAAGAGUGAAGAGGGCUUCACUCUUGCCUCUAUAUAUACUAUCUAACUAGAAGCCUCAUGGCGAUGUUCUAUAAGACCUCCAAUAUAUGUUGACUUUCUAGGCCACAUGCCUUUGCUUACAAGGCAAGUUUUCUAUGGAUGGACCACGUAGUUAGCUUGUUCUUUAAGCUUCCAACAUGUGUGGCACAUGGCUAACUUGUUGACCAAGUUUCUAGCCUAAAAGUCAACUAUAGACUCCUAUAAAGUCAAAGCAACGUCUAUGAAGCUUCUAAGAAGCUUUUCUAGAAGAUAUUACAUAAUUAACCUACUUUUAUCUAUUCAUAUAGGUAAUUAUAUGUAUGUCCGUGACAUUACCCCCCCUUCUAGGGACGAGUUCCACAAGGAGCGGUGAUUAUAUAUUGAGAAAAUCUAAUAUGCGGCGAAUUGUAUUUGCUACCUACUCUGAUCUUUGUUCUCUUCGAAGAUAGGUGAUGGGUCCUCUUAGCCAUCGAUAGUGUCCCAUUCCAGGGCGAGAAGACCACCCUAUUAUUUGAUCACUGUUGAGGCCUUCAUAACUUCCUUCAAAUAAUAUAUUUGAAACACCAUCAGGAGUCGUUCCUAUCUCCAAUAAUAUCACCAAACAUCGAGAAUCUCUUCCAAGGUCGUGAUACCAAAUGCGUUGUAUCUCACCAUCUAUUCGAGGAAGAACAUGUCGUUCUUGAUGAUCUUCAUCUCGGUUGCGUCGUCUUGAAGGUUGUGACAAUCGCAAUGUCUCAUCCGGUAAGUCAGCAAAUGAAGGUUCUUGAGUUGAAUCCGCUGGUUGUUGGCUCUCCAUCUAAUUAGCGUCACAAAUGCAAAGAAGUUACAAACAAGGAUAGGAAAUUGAAUGUUAUCUUGCCUCAAUCUUGUCUCUUUUAUAAGAGAGGUUUUCAUCUUGGUUUUGAUGGAUGUCGUUGAUGAAAAACUUUGACUUUAGCUGAUGCAUUUGCUAGAUUCCUGGAUGGCUCCCAUGUGCGCUCACUAAUAUCAUAUCCGCGCCAAUGAACAAGAUAUUCCAGCUUAUUUCGGCGCCGCCUUGAGUCUAAUAUCUCUUCCACCUCAAAUUCUUCAUUAUUAUCUACUUCUAUAGGAGGCGGUGGCAUUUGUCUUCUUCCUUGUAUAUCCACUGUCUUAUAUGGUUCAAGAAGAGACACGUGGAAUACAGGAUGGAUCUUCAUUGACUCCGGUAGAUGUAACCGAUAUGCAACUGGGUUGAUCUGUUCAGAAACAGAAAAGGGGCCAAGCCUACGAUAGUCCAAUUUGUCACAAGGUUGAGUGGUCUUGAUAUUGCAACGAAGUAGCCAUACCUUAUCACCCACGUUGAGUUGUGGUUGCUCUUUACGAUAUACAUCUGCAUUUAUCUUUUGUCGUUCUUGAGCUUUCUUCAACUGCGCCUUCAUUAUUGCAUGUAACUUUGACAACCGAUUUGCCAUAUCUUCUACUGCAGGAUUAUCAACUUUUGAAAAAUCAAAAGUAUCAAGUCGUGGAUGAUAGCCAUAAUUGGCAAAGAAAGGUGUUUGUUGCGUGGAAAAAUGUACUGUAUUAUUAUAAGCAAACUCUGCCAAUGGCAGAAGGAUUGUCCAAUCAUCUUGUUGGUAGUUGAUGGUACACCUUAAAUACUGUUCCAAGACUUGGUUUACGUGCUCUGUUUGUCCAUCAAUUUGAGGAUGGAAAGCUGAAGAUAGCUUUAUGUCCACUUUUAAAAUCUUAAAAAGAGUCCUCCAGAAUCUCGACACAAAUUGAGUUCCCCUAUCCGAUAUGAUAUCUUUAGGUAAUCCAUGAUAGCGAUAGAUAUUAUCAAUGAAAAGCUUAGCUGUUUCUUCACCUGUGAUAGAUUUUGUACAUGGCAUAAAAUGUGCCAUCUUGGUGAAACGAUCUACUAUCACAAAUAUAGAAUCAUAAGAUCUUGAGUUUGGAAGAUCUGUGAUGAAAUCCAUAGAAACAGAAGACCAUGGUUGUUCUGGUAUAGGUAAUGGCUGAAGAAGUCCGUAGGGUCGAUGUCGAGGAAUUUUUGAUCUUGAACAAAUAUCACAUGAUUGUACAAAGUCUUUGACUGACUUCCACAUUUGUGGCCACCAAAAAUCUCUUGAUAUGAGUUCCAGAGUCUUAUUAUAUCCAAAGUGACCUGCUGUUGGAAAGUCAUGACGUGCUUGAAGAACACGCAAACGUGCUUUUCCUUCUGGAACAUAUAGGCGUCCUUCAAAAUAUAAUAGAUUAUUCUUGAACUCGAACUUAGAAGAAUCAUGAGACUUGGAAGAAUUAUUCUCGAUAUCAUGAACAAGAGGGUCUGAGGACAUACUGGACUGGAUUUGCUUGAGAAAAGUUGAAUCAACAGUCAGUGUUGAUUUCACUGCUCGGAGAUGAAAUUGCUCCGGUUUCAAGAGGACCGUUCUUUGUUGCUCAAAAGCUGCAUCUCCUUCUUUUGGUGCAAAAUAAGAACGUCUAGACAGGGCAUCGGACAAACCUUGUUGUUUUCCUGGCCGAUAAGUGAUAAUGAACUCGAAUCUUGACAAAGACAUACUCCAACGAGCUUGACGACGAUUCAACACGCGUGCUGACAUGAAAUACUCGAGGUUCUUGUGAUCUGUAUACACAGUGACUGGACUAGAAGCACCUUCUAGAUAAUGACGCCAUUCUUGAAAAGAAUCCACGAUUGCAAGAAGUUCUUUAUCGUGGAUCUCAUAAUUGAUCUCGACUGCUGAGAAUUUUCUUGAAUGAAAAGCUAUCGGAUGAAGUUUGUCAUCUGUUCCCAUUUGUGAUAAAACUGCACCCAAGGCAAAAUCCGAUGCGUCUGUUUCCAUAAAAAAUACCUUGGAAAAAUCAACACGAUAUAAGACUGGUGCAGAGACAAACGAUGUCUUCAAGGCUUCAAAUGCUGCUUCCGCUUCUUGAUUCCAUUGGAAUUUAUCUUUACUAGUCAAGCGUGUAAGUGGAGCUGCAACUCGUGAGAAGUCUUUGAUGAAGAUCCGAUAGUAAUUGGCAAAUCCCAAGAAACAUUGGACAUCUCUUACAGUCUUUCGAAUCUUCCAAUCCAUGAUUGUUUGGACUUUCUUAGAAUCCAUCAUAAGACCAUCAUUUGAAAUGAUGUAUCCUAAAAAGUCAACUUGAGUAGUGUGAAAUACACACUUUUCUAUCUUAGCGUACAAUCCUGCAUCUCUAAGUUUUUGUAAUACUUGACGAACAUGUAUUUCAUGUUCUUCAACAUUCUUAGAAUAAAUUAGGAUAUCGUCUAGGUAGCAGACGACAAAAUUGUCUAAGAAUUCACGAAAUACAUCAUUCAUGAGAUGUUGAAAAGCAGCUGGUGCAUUCGUGAGUCCAAAAGGCAUGACAUUGUAUUCAAAGUGUCCGUACCUGGUUCGAAACGCAGUCUUCCAUUCAUCUCCUUCUUUGAUCCGUACUAGAUUAUAUGCUCCUCUUAGAUCUAUUUUUGUAUAGAUCUUAGCUUGAUUUAACUGGUCAAGGAGUCCUGAUAUCAAAGGUAAUGGAUACCUGUUCUUGAUUGUGAUCUUGUUGAGUCCUUGAUAGUCAACACACAUUCGUAAAGAUCCAUCUUUUUUCUUUACGAAUAAAAUUGGAGCUCCUGUUGGAGAUUUUGAAUGGCGUAUGAAAUUCUUCGCUAAAUUCUCGUCAAUAUAUGUCUUGAGUUCAGCCAACUCAUCUUGCGAUAAACUGUAAAUUGGUCCAAAUGGUGGCUGAGUUCCUUCCUUGAGAUCGAUUGAACAAUCGUAUGGGCGAUGCUCAGGAAGAAUAUUUGCAUUCUUUUUCUCAAAAACGUCUUGAUAAUUUUGAUAUUGACUUGGAAUGCCACUUGAAGUCUUUACGCUUUCAGAAAUAGGUGCAGUAUAAAUAGCAAAAGUUGAUCCUUCUUUUGCUGCGUGUAUAAAUGCUUUUGUACCUAUAAGUGCGGGUUUUACUAUACUAGACUCAUGGUUUUUUACUUGAUUAAUAGAACUGUUACUAAUGCUCUGAGGAAAAUCAAGUUUACGAGAAAUCCAAUCUAUUUGAGGAUUAUACUUUUCUAACCAUGAUAAGCCUAAAAUUACUGGAUUAGAGGGAGAUCUAAUUAUAUUAAAAAUUACGCAACUACUAUGACCAUUUAUUACUACAUCUACAGGAAGUGUUUCGUGAAUUACAUCUCCAGAAGACAACGGACGACCAUCUAUGACUUCUACGUGUACAGGUUUAGUUUUUUGUAUUAAUGAUAUUCUAUGACAUCUAGCAAAUUCUUCAUCUAAAAAACAAGCUGAGGCUCCUGAAUCUAUCAAGGCAGAGGCUUUGUAAUUAUUAGGUCCUAAACGCACAUCUAUUAUAAAACAAGGAGAUGGUUCUGAGGAGAGGAUAGGACCUUCAUUAGAAGUUGUACAAGAUUCCAGCCGCACGGUCCCUAUUGUAGCUGGACGUACUCGUUUUCCGACAUACUGUCUUCUUUGACAGCCGUACUCCUCAUUUUGUAGUUACGUCGCUUCUUUGGACAAUGUUGAGCAGUGUGCUUAGGUUCUCCACAAUAUAAGCACAAUCCUUCUUGUCGACGACGAGACUUUUCUUGCUCAGUAAGAGGUUUGAAACGUACCGCAUCAAUUUGCAUAUCCUCUACUUCCGAAGGUAUGUGUUGAGGAGACGUCGGUGUUGCCAUUGAAUUGUAGUAACGUUGAGGCCCACUUGUGCGACUCUCGGAUCGAAAUUCAAAAAGUCGAUUGUCGCACUUCACAACAAAGUCAAUUGCUUGACUCAAUGUUUGAGGAUCAGGUAAAUUAAGCAUCAAUUUCUUUACCUCAUAUUGUAAUCCGUAGAGAAAUUGACUCACAAGUGCGGCAUCAUCCCACUUGAUAUCAGUUGCAAGUUGUCGAAAUUGCGAAGCAUAUAAUGUUACUGAUCGAUUGCCUUGUCGCAAAAUACGGAUCUUGUUGGUUGCAACACGAAUUGCAUCAUGUUCUCCAAACAUGGAUCGAAACUCCGCCAAAAAAGCCUCCAGAUUAUCCAAUAUUGGAUCUCGUCGUUCAAGAAAAGAUGAAAACCAUGCCAAUGCUGAACCUGAAAGAAGUGUACCAAUGAAUCUAACUUGUGACCUUGGAGUUGGAUAGCUCUGGGGUUGAAGUUCAAUCACUAAUUGGACCUGAUUGAUGAAUCCUCGAAACUUGGAUCUGGUACCAUCAAACUUCUCGAGCAAGGCCACUCUCGGUUCUCUAACACUCGAAGGGUGUUCCAUUCUGGGAGAAGGGACAUGGUUUGGUGCAGAUGUUGAAGCAGCCCCAAUCAUCUCUAUAUCUUCACUUCCUACCAUUCUUGUUGCUCCUUGUGGUGGUAAAUUGAGUUGAUGCAUCGCAAGCAUUAACUCCCUCAAUUGUUCUUGCAUCUGUGCCAUUGCACUCUUCAUUUCAACAAGCUCUGCCAUAGUAGCACUUAGAAAAGAGAAGAUGUCUAAUAACGCUCAAAACAAAUAGAAGAGAGGAAUUGAUAACAAAGAAAAUACUAAGAACAAUAUCAGUUUAAAAGAGGGUAAUCCGCAACUUCUAAUGCGCUUAUGUCUUAUCAAGAAAAAGGGGUAAUCCACUCUUAAUCAAGAAAAGACAAAGCUCUGAUAUUGUAAGUGUACUCUUGUCAAUCUGUCAAGGACAAGAACUCGAUGAAAACUAAAGAGUAAGUGAGACUUUUCUCAAAAAGAAAUAGGACAAAAUAGAAAUAUGUAUAUUAAGAAAGAAACUGGAAUGGCUAUUGCCAAAAUACAAGAAAACUAGAGACCCUUGAAACUAGACUAGAAGCAAGAAAGGAGUUGACAAGAGUGAAGAGGGCUUCACUCUUGCCUCUAUAUAUACUAUCUAACUAAAAGCCACAUGGCGAUGUUCUAUAAGACCUCCAAUAUAUGUUGACUUUCUAGGCCACAUGCCUUUGCUUACAAGGCAAGUUUUCUAUGGAUGGACCACGUAGUUAGCUUGUUCUUUAAGCUUCCAACAUGUGUGGCACAUGGCUAACUUGUUGACCAAGUUUCUAGCCUAAAAGUCAACUAUAGACUCCUAUAAAGUCAAAGCAGCGUCUAUGAAGCUUCUAAGAAGCUUCUCUAGAAGAUAUUACACAAUUAACCUACUUUUAUCUACUUUUACAUACUUUUAUCUAUUCAUAUAGGUAAUUAUAUGUAUUUCCGUGACAUAUUGUCUUAAAGAUUGUAAUAAUCUCAAUAUUUUAUUUAGUAUUUCAACAAGCAAUGGCUCAUGAAUUGAAUCUGUUGGCUAUUCGUUUUCUAUCUCUUUAGCAAAACAAGUACACAAAAAAUACAAAUAAGAAUAGAAGGUAGAAUAUUAUUUUUCUUUAAAUCACAAUUCUUUUAUAGCAAUGUUUAUUUAUCUUUUAUAUUGAUUUUGAUGGUUAUUCUUGAUAAAAAAAUAUCAACCAUCUUUCCUACAUUUGCAAGAUUCUAUGUUGAUAAUAAGGUAUGGAAUAGCUUCAUAGAUGCCUAUCAAUACCUUGUUGUCAUGUUGGUCUUUUGUGAUUCUUGAACUUUUUUUUAUUGUGCCUUUAUUCUUAUAUGCACUUCAAAUAAAUGAUUCACUAAAUCUUUUGCUGUAGGAUUAUCAACUUUUGCAAAUUUAAAAGUAUCAAGACAUACAUAUUAAUCAAAAUUAGCAAAAAAAAAAAAUUAUUGUGUAGAAAAAUAUAUUUUAUUAUUGUAUAAAACUCUACCAAUAGAAAAAAAAAAGUUGUCGAAUUAUCUUAUUGAUAGUUGAUAGUACAUCUUAAAUACUACUCUAAAAUUUGAUUUAUGUGCUUUGUAUAUCCAUUAGUUUGAAGAUAAAAAUUUGAAGAGAAUUUUAUAUUCAUCUUUAGAAUCUUAAAAAGGAUCUUUCAAAAUCUUGAUAUAAAUUGAGUCCCCUUAUAAAAUAUAAUAUCUUUGAGUAAUCCAGGAUAGUAAAAGAUGUUGUCAAAAAAAAACUUAGUCAUUUUUUUUUUUUUUUUAUCCAUGAUAGAUUUUUUAUGUGGUAAAAAAUAUACCAUUUAGAUAAAACGAUCUACUAUCCUAAAUAUAAAAUCAUACAAAUCUAAGACUAAAAGAUUUGUCAUAAAAUCCAUAGAAACAGAAGACGGUGAAUGUUCCAAAAUAGGUUAUGGUUGAAAAAGCCAAUAAGAUCAAUGACAAGGAGUUUUUUAUCUUAAAUAAAUAUCACAUCAUUAUACAAAGUCUUUAAUUGCCUUUUAUAUUUGAAGCCAUAAAAAAUCUCUAGAUAUUAGCUCUAAGGUCUUAUUGUAUCAAAAAUAUUCAAUUAUAAGAAAGUCGUGACGAGCUUCAAGACCAUGUAAUUGUAUUUUGUCUUUUGGAAUGUAUAAUCAUCUUUUAAAAUAAAAUAUAUUAUUUUUAAAUUAAAACUUAGAAGAAACAUGAGACUUAGAAGAAUUAUUCUUAAUAUUAAUAACAAGAAGAUUACAAGACAUACUCAAUUGAACUUGCAUGAAAAAAGUUGAAUUAAUAGUCAAUGUUGUUUUCAUUGCUCAAAGAUGAAAAGACUUUGGCUUCAAGAAAAUGAUUCUUUAUUGAUCAAAAGCUACAUCUUCUUCUUUUGAUGUAAAAUAAAAAUGUCUAAAAAUGACGUCUAAUAAACCUUGUUAUUUUUCAGGUCAAUAAGUGGUCUUAAAAUCAAAUCUUCAUAAGGACAUGUUUCAAUAGACUUAACAACAAUUCAAAACACAUAUUGACAUGAAGUACUUAAGGUUCUUAUAAUCUAUAUAUAUAUAUAUAUAUAUAUAUAUAUAUAUAUAUAUAAUAACUGGACUUAAAGAACCUUCUACAUAAUGAUGUUAUUCUUGAAAUGAAUCCACAAUUGUAAAAAAUUCUUUAUUGUGAAUCUUAUAAUUAAUCUUGAUUGUUGAAAAUAUCUUGAAAUAAAAAGCUACUUCAUAGAGCUUGUCAUUUUCUUCCAUUUGUGACAAAAUAGUACAUAUAGUAAAAUUUUAUGUAUUUGUUUUUAUAAAGAAUUCUUUAAAAGAAUUGAUAUAAUCCAAGUUUGUUACAAAAAUAAAUAAUUUUUUCAAGGCUUCAAAAAAUGCUUUUGCUUCUUUGCUCCACUCAAAUUUAUCUUUAUAUGACAUGUAUGUUAAAAGAGCUACAACUUAAAAAAUAAAAUAAAAUAAAAUAAAAUAAAUCUUGAUAAAGAUCUAAUAAUAAUUGACAAAUUUAAAUAAAUAUUACACAUCUCCAAUUAUUUUUAAGAUCUUCUAAUCUAUGAUAGUUUGAACUUUCUUAAAAUCCAUCAUAAGACCAUCAUUUGAAAUGAUCUAUCCUAAAAAGUUAACUUGAAUAAUAUAAAAUAUAGACUUUUCUAUCAUAUUACAUAAUCUUACAUCUCUUAGUUUUUGUGAUAUAUGACAAACAUGAAGUUCAUAUUCUUCAAUGUUCUUAGAAUAGAUUAAAAUAUUAUUUCAAUAACAAACAAUAAAAUCAUCAAAAAACUCAUGAAAGACAUCAUUCAUUAGAUGUUGAAAAGCAACUAGUAUAUUUGUGAGUCCAAUGUCAUGAUAUUAUAUUCAAAAUGUUCAUUCUUGAUUUGAAAUAUAAUUUUUUAUUCAUCUCUUUCUUUAAUGCAUACCAAGUUGUAUGCUUCUCAUAGAUCUAUUUUUUUAUAAAUCUCUAUGAAAAAUAUGUAUUUUUUUCAAAAACCUCUUAGAAAUUUUGAUAUUUACUAAAAAUAUUACUUAACGUCUUUCCACCAUCAAAAAUAGCUUGGAAUAUAUAACAAAAGAUGAUCCUUCUUUUGCCACAUGUAUGAAAGCUCUUGCUUCUACUAAUAGGAGUUUUGAUAUAGUAGACUUAUAUAUUUUUAUUUGAAUAAUAAAAUUUUGAAUUUAACUAUAAAAAAAUUAAGAUAAUAAGAAAUCCAAUUUAUUUGAAUAUUAUACUUUUUUAACCAUGAUAAUCCUAAAAUAAUUAAAUAGAAGGGAGAUUUUAUCACAUUAAAUAGUACUAUAUUAUUAUGAUCUUUAAUUAUUAUAUCUAAAAGAAAAAUCUUAUAGAUAAUAUUUUAAAAAGAAAAAAAAAUAACCAUCUAUCAUUUUUACUUGUAUAGAUUUAAUUUUUUUUAAUUAAAGAUAUUUCUUAUUUUUUAACAAAUUCUUCAUCUAUUAAACAAGUUGAGGCUCUUAAAUCUAAUAAAGUAAAGACUUUGUGAUUUUUAGAUUCUAAAUAUACAUCUAUUAUAAAAUAAGAUGAAAGAUUUGAAGAAAAAAUAAGACCUUUGUUAGAUAUUACAUAUGAUUCUAGCUCCAUGAUCUUUAUUAGAGUUUGAGAAACUCAUUUUUUGAUACAUUUUCUUUGGCAACCAUACUCUUCAUUUUGAGAUUGCAUUGUAAAUUUGAAUAAUGUUGAGCAGUAUGCUUGGUUUUUCCACAAUAUUGGGACAAAUCUUCUUAACAACAUCAAAUCUUUUUUGUUCACUAUAAAAUUUAAAAUGUAUUAUAUCAAUUUGCAUUGAUUUUGGCCUUCACAAAUAAGUUUUUAAAAACUUAGGAGCUAUUUUUAUUAUUUGACUUGUUUCUUUUCAACCAAAUCUUUGUUCUUGGUGUCUUUCAAAUAAUAGAUUAUUGAAUGCAAUAGCUUGAGGAAUAAAUUAUUCCAAAAUAUUUUCUAUUAAGAAUAAGAACUCAACAAAAGCUAGUAAUCAAGUGAGACUUUUUCAAUGAAGUAUGACAAAAUAGAAGUAAGUUAACAUGUAUAUUAAAAAAAAUUGAAAUGGCUAUUGCCAAAAGACAAAAAAAUUAAAGACUCUUGAAUCUAGACUAAAGAAAGAAAGGAGUUGAUAAGGGUGAAGAAAGCUUCACUCUUCCUUCUACACAUAUUAUCUACAUAUAAGCUAUGUGGCGACAUUCAAUGAGACUUUUAAUAUGUAUUUUUUUUCUUUUUUAAAUAACUUAAUAAAUCUAUACAUCAAAUUAGAGGAAGGUAAUUCACAACAUAUAAUAUUAAAUGAUUUUUUUUAAAAAGAAGGAUAAUCUAUUUUUUUUACAAGGAAGGAUAAUCUAUUUUUUUUAAGAAAAAAUCAGUACUAAAAAAUUAAAAAUUAGUUCAAUGUGGAUAGUAUAUAACUUUUGAAAUACAAUAAUAGAAGUAGGAUAAUCUAUUCACAUCUAAAAAUAAAGCAAUAACAAUGAAUUAGCACUCUUGUUAAUAUGUUAAGGACAAGAAAUCAAAAGAGAUACAUAAACAAGUCAAAAAUGAAUCAAAGAAAGAUGACAAAGUAGAAAUAAGAAAAUAAAUAUAUUUAAUAAAAAAAUUAGAAUGGCUAUUGCCAAAGGUUAGAAAACAAUAGAAUCUUGAAAUUAAACUAAAAACAAGAAAGAAGUUGACAAGAAUGAAGAAGGCUUCACUUUUACCUAUAUAUAUAUUAUCUAUCUAAAAGCUACAUGAAAAUGUUCUAUAUGAUUUUCAAUACCUGUUCAAUUUAUGAGACAUAUGUCUUAACUUGCAAGGCAAUUUUUCUAAAAGUGUACUACAUUGUCAGCUUGUACCACAAGCUAUCAAUAUAUGUAACACGUGGCUAACUUGUUGGCCAUAUUUUUAACCUACUAAUCAUCAAUAAACAUGUAUAAAAGAGAAAUCAUAUUUAUGAAGCUUCUCUACAAGAUAUUUUUAAAUUAAUCUACUUUUAAUUACUUCUAUUUAUUCAUAUUAUCUAGGUAACUAUAGGUAUAUUCAUGAUAGCCUAAAAAAAUCGUAAUCAAAUUCUAAUGUAAUCCUAAAAAAAUCCUUAUAAAAUUUUAAUCAAAUUCUAAUCAAAUCUUAACAAAAUCCUAAUAAAAUCCUAUACCAAUUCUAACCAAAUCUUAAUUAAAUCCUAAAGAGACUUUAAAAAAAUCCUAAAUAAAUCCAAAAAAGUUUAAAAUAAAUCCUAAUUAAUUUUUAUAGUUAUUUUAAAUUUUCAAUAAAUAUUAAUAAAAUUUUUAAUUUCUACUCAAACUUCAUUCAUGCUUCAAUCCACAAGAGACUAAUGAGUAUAAAAAAAAUUAAAAAAAAAAUUGAACUCACUAAUCAAAAAAAAAAAAAAAAAAAAAAAAAAAAAACUCUUUAACCUCUUAGUUGUUGAUUGUCUUCCUUCUCUAUAUAGAUGUUGAUGUGUCAAUAGCAUUUUUUUUUCUUUUUAUAUUGUUCAAUUGCUUCAAAAAUUAGAUGAUAUGUAGAUUUUUAAAUCAAAAUUUCUUUCACUAAUUUUGGCUUCAAUCAAACUAUUAAAAAAAAUAGAAUUAUAAAGCCCCUCACUAAUCUUGAAUUUCAAAAAUCUGAGAUUUUAAUCUAAUAAAAAUCUCAUAUCCUCCAAUCUAAUCAUUUGAUUGACAUUAAAUUUUUCAAAUAUAUUGAAGACAAGCACAAUAAUAAACUUAUAAAACUUCGCCUAUAAAUGAAUUAAGACACUCACACAAUACUCAAAAUUUUAAACUUCUUGUUAUUUCUCAAAAUCCAAAACUACUGCAUUCAUAUCUUACUUUGAAAAGCCCUCAAAAAUUCAAUAUGAUUCCAAAUCACAUAAAAUCAAUCUCCAAAAAACCUUUCACUCAUUUGAUUUCAAACCAUAGUCUUCAAUCAACCAAAGAAUCUUAGAAUUACCAUAGAUGCAUGGUUUUGUGCCUCGGAGUUUGAUUUUGAUCCUAGUUCACAAUCCGUCCUCUUUAGAUAUCAAUUCUGGAUAAUUUGGAAUAAUUUUUUUUUAAACCUAUUCUUAAUUACUUUCUAAAGAUGUUGAUAUUAUUUUUUUUAAUAUACUUUGUUUUUAUUUAUUUAUGGCUUUACAAAGUAAGUAGAAGCCUCUUUUAUAGAAAGCAAUAUUAAUACUUAUUAAUUUUUAAUACCUUCUUUUCUACUAUCUAUAUUUUUAAGAUAAAUUUCUAAAAUGUUUUUAUUUAAAUUCUUCUAUAAUAUUAUUUUUUUUCUUCUUUCACCUAAUGGUUGUAUUACAAUACAACAACACAUUUGUUCAUGCCUCAAUGUUUUCUACAUCAUCAAAAAGUAACAACAAGUGGAAUGGUUGGUUAGAGAAGAUAUAGUGGAUUUCAAGCUCAUAGUUGCAGCAACACAACUAGAAAAAUAUGCAAACAUUCACUCUACUCAUGCAUCACUAAAUGAAAAAUUAUUUGAAGAUAUUUUCUAUAGGAAUAAAGAUUUUUUUUCAAUAAAAAAAUAUUGUAAGUCAUAUUAAAUAAAACUAAAGUAUAGUUUAAAAUAGACUAUUUUUAAAAGCACAUAGUGAUUAUAUACUUUGUAAGAGAAAAAUAUCCUUUGAAAAUAUCACAUGAUUAGCUUAUAAUCAUAACCAUAGAGACCUUAGAAGAAUAAAAAUCAGAUUAACGUUUACAAAAUAGAUUCUUUUGAAUGAUCAACAAAGAGGUAUAGAUUCAAUCUGGCAAAAUCAAUAGACAAAAAGAUGUCAAUUUAGAUAACUUUGAAGGCAAUGCUAGACGUGUUCUUAAGUAAUAUAUAAAAAUUGGCAUAAAUAUUAGGGGCGAUAGUCAAAAAAUAUUGUUGUAAUCUCAACAAUGUCAAUUAAAACUUUUAUAUUGCAAUCAAAAUAGAUGUCCCUUUUGAUCUUAUAUUUGAAGCUAUUAAUUCCAUUAUAAAAGACAUGACAAUGAUGAAGAUUGAUUAUAAUAAUCUAUCAAUUUAAUGCCAAUAUUACUUAUCAAGAAUCUACUUAAUAAAAAAAUGUGUGAUACUUAACUAUCAAAUAUGUUUUUAAAAAACUAUUCAUAGCUUCUAUAAUCUAAUUAAAAAAAAAUAAUAAAAUAUCUCAUUUCUUCUUUCUAUUUUUGACACAAGAUCCUCUUAAAUUAGAUCUUGCUAAAAAAUAACAAAACUCCUCUUUGAAACAAGACUAUUAGCAUCCAUUGCAAGAAGUUAAAACAUACUAAUUUUGAUAUAUGCUAUGGGCUCUUCUAUAAGCUACAACUAAUCAAUUCAAUUGGAUCAAGCUUAGAGGGGGUGGUAGCAAUUAAUUAAAUACGAAAUUUAAUGAUUCUUGUCUAAGACAAUGUGAUGGUAUUAAUUAGACCAAAAAAGACAUAAUUAGAAAAAAAUUGCUUAUCUUACAUUGUUGUUUUACAAGUGGCUCUAAAGACAAGGAAUUGAGAACUCUUUAGAGAACUCACUUAUAAUUUUGGAAUUGUCAAAUAAUUACUAGAUACAUUUAAUAAUUGAAAUAUUUAUGACAAAACUGAUUGAUGUUCUUUCAUCAAUAUUAAAAAAUUAUCUUAAAAGGAGUUACUAAAAAUAUUCAAGUAUAACCAAAACCACCUCUCUUUCAUCAUUUAUGUGAAGAUUGUCAUCUUAUUUCAAAAUGUGCAGGGUAUUAUUGUCCUAAAAAACGUUUCUUUAAUAUGUAAUUACUUUUGCAUAAAAUGUAUAGAGAUCUUCUACAUACAAAAACAUAAUUUUAUGUGGUACCAAACUUUUGGCACUAAAAGAUAGUAUAUAGCUAGGCAUUAACUUAUAUAUAUAUAUAUAUAUAUAUAUAUAUAUAAAUUAAAAAAAAAAAAAAAAAAAAAAAAAAAAAAAAAACUAUAACAUAUAACAAUGUCAUGUAAGAUGGAGGCAUAGAAAAUAAGAAGGAAUAGAGGAGGGAGGGAGGGGAAGAAAGAAAGAGAGGAGGAAAAGAGAGGAGAUAUUUGUAUAUAUAUGCAUGUAGAUUGUAUCCAACAUCCUCUACUUAAUGCAUGAUUCUGACUAGUGUCAAUUAUGCCAACCCUUGUGGAUAUGCUUACAUGACAUACAUGGUACAAAAGUUUUCAUUUUAAAUAUAUACUCUCUUUACUUCUCCCAAACAUUAUACACUAUGGAUGAAGUUGUCUUUAACACUGCUAAGAAAUUGUCAUUGGCUUCUUAUGGGUAAUUGAAACUUUAUUAAAAACAAAUUGGACGAGUUGAAUGAUAAAGGCUCCUCCUCCUCCCAUAAUAUUUUCUUUUUAUGUCUAUAUGAAGUAGAACACAAAAAAAGAAAAUAAAUAAAUAAAUUCAAAAUAAAAGCCUCUUUUAUCAACUAUCUUUAAUUGGCUCAUUACAACAUGCACCUAUGAAAGUUAGAUGGAUUCUCUAUUGUCAAUCAAAAAAAGAUGACAAAAUUAAUUUAAUUUAUUAUGUUGAUAUUGUGGUGGUGCUACUACUUAAAUGAAUUGUUAAGGCUAUAGAAUCUAGACAAUCCAAUCUACAUAUAAUGUUAAGAUACCACCUAAAUUAUUUCCACUGCUACUCAUGUAGCAAGUGGAGUUCCAACUUAGAUUACUUCACCAAACUCAAUAUUAGUGUAAGUAAGGCUUAUUAGUGUGGACUUGCAUGACAAAGCACAUGUAUAUAGGUCCUGCUUGCACUCACUUUUAUACUCCCACCAUUCUAUGAAGAACUUCUCAAUUGCAGUUUCCCACUAGUCCAAAAUAUUGGACUGGGAAUCUUUAACAUGAUGGCUAUGGAGUUAUAUAAAGCUGGUUUUUGAAAAUAUAGAGAUGUGUAGAAUGAUGCCCAUUUCUUUUUACAUACCAAAGAAAUUAUCAAAAUUAAUGUAUUGCCCCAGGAAGAGGUGGCUUGAUAGACCCUUACUGCCACCUUAUAUCAAUUGUGGAGCACUCUCUUACCACCAACUAGCAACAUGUGUAUGAAUAGAAACCAGUUUGGGCUCUACAAUGAUGAAUCAGGCACACAACCAAUUCAAGUAUGGCAAGCAACCCUGACCUUCCAACCAUCUCUAGGAUCAAUUUAGUCUAGAAUACUUAUGGAGAUUCCCUUUUUAAUAUUUAAUUCAUUAUCAAAUCACUUGGUUGCAUUACUCAGACAGUGAGGAUUUUGUGUCAAUGAGAGGGAUACUCAAACCUUUUCCACUAAACAUAGAUAGAUGGUUAUCUCCACAUGGUGAGAGUAGUGCCAAUUUAGCGAGGCCAAAGAAAACUUAAAUAUUGCUCUUCUAUGGAAAAGUAAAUUAGAACCCUGGCCUAUUUAUGUCAGAAGACAAUAUGCCAUUUAAUAGCUACACUACAGCACUUGGAUGAGGCUUGCUCAAAAAUAAAUACAUCAUACUUACAGUUGGACCAACAAAAUAAACACUUAUCCUUCAAGCCAAAUAUUGACUAAAAUGGCUUAAUGCAUGGAAUAAGGAAUGUGUUAAAAGGAAACAGGAUUACUUUGGCUUAUAUGACAUAGGGCCAUUUGUUGUGAAUGCUCAGAGAGGUCAAAUAAAUAAUGGUGUUGAUCAAUGCUGCUCAAUGUGCUUGAGAGGAAGUUGCAAGAUUGUCCUUCACCAUUUUUGGAAAUGUCCCUCACCACAACAUGCAUGGAGAUUGGGGAUACACAUCUUAUUAAUGCUCACCCUUGUGUCACUGGUCACCAGGACUCACUCGAAGGAACCCGGGUACCUUGAGUACCCGAAGCACUAGAGGCAAUCCCCCUCAUGCAUUCUCUCCUUUAUUGAAACAUUAUAUUUUUGUUCAUCGUACACCACUGCUGUUUUAAAAAAGUCAGUUAUAUGUGGUUACUAUUAUGUGGCACCAUCAUCAGGCUCUUAUUGUUGGCAUGUAGCAAUGCCAUAUUUAAUUGCAUAUUCCAGAAUGCAGAGAAGAUGUAUAACAAGAUAUAGCUGAACUUGAUGAGUCAUCUAGGCUCAGUUGAAAACUUGAUGCAAAUGCAACUCAAACAAUUACAAAUAUCUCAUAGAACAAUUCCAGCAUCAAUGGUGCACAAAGGAUAUCAAAGUAUCAUGGAUUGCAGAGCAACCGCUCUGGAAAUUAGUAGGUCAUAGUGAUAUUUUGUUACAUAGAGAAAGCAAUUGUUUGCCUGGCUGGACCUGGCUGUGUUCCUUCUUGUACCACGUUUCAUCUAUAAUAGAACAAUCUUCUAUUUGUGUCAAACAUAAAUAAAUAAAUAAGAAUAAGCACAAUAUUUAUGUGUCAAACCUAACUUUGGAUGCCAACAAUGGCAAAGAGUUGCUUUAUUCAUUUGAUUCUUUUCCUCAUUUAUAAAACAACUCCAUCAUUUCUCAUAUAUUCUCCUUUCUUUCCUAUAUCAUUUAUAACUAUAUUUAUAUGCUUAUGUCGAUAUUGACAAAUAUCCUUUUGGAAUGGUUCCAUAUAUAUAAACUUUAUGGGACAAUGUAGUGGACAGCCCACUAGUCUACUUUAAUGAGCCCCAUCGCUACAAUGAAGCUUUAUAUGGAUGAAGAUAUGAGAAGAUGAAUGAAAGAUGAGAGCAUCCACGUCAGAAUGAACACUAUGAGAUGAAUGGAGUGAUGUGGAUGAGCGAUAAAGACCCAAAAGGAGGAUGAAACCUGGCUGGCAAAAGUUUGCACUCCUGCUGUGGCAAUCGCCAUGAAUGGUUGCAUGCCCGGGCACACUUCCUUUUUUUCUUUUCGUUUGUUUGUAAUUCUUUUUCUUUAUCCUGUGCCGCUCGCUUGCUUGUGAUUUCCCCUUCCCAAGGCCACGGACAGAAUUGCAUAUUUUCAUUUACACUAGCUUUUGGCCUAGGCCUUGGAUGGAUGAGUAGAUGGCUGAGUGCCUAGGUAUGAAUGAUUUUUUUCUUGUUAUCCUGUUAUCUUUGAAAACAUUUUGGAGCCUAAUUAAUUAUAUAUAUAUAUAUAUAUAUAUAUCCACAAUGCUGAAGAUGCAUGCAGAUAAGUGCUUCAUGAGUGUUUGUUAAAAUGUGGAGUAUUCAAACAUAGAAUAUUAAAAAAUAGAAAAAAAAAAAAAAUCUAUAUGAUAACAAUGAUAACAAAGAGAUGAAUGACACAUCGACAACUUGUUACAAAAGGAAUAUACUUGUAACAAUCAAAUACGUACUCUCAAUUGCGUUGAAUUUUCUGAUACUAUUAUGCAAGUACUUUCAUGGAUAAUGGACAAAAAAAUAUUCAAAUUCUUUACUGAUUUUAAAUCUAAAAUAUACUGAUAAUCUGUUAGUCCAGGCACAGGUUAUUUUGUGUCUUGUGACGACUUAACUUUAUGUUAAGAUUUUAUUUUUAAUUUGUCAGAAGAGUUACGUAAUUCAUUUAAAACAAUGGUAGAUAUAAUUCAUUCUUUCAACUGAUUAAUACCAAGUGCAUGAUUAUAAAAAAAAAUGAUACGUGACACAGUUAAUCAGUUGAAAGAAUGAAUAAUAAUUGGCAACCAUCACAAAAUUUCAUCGUCAUAUGACUUUAAAACACAUGAAGAAUAUUUUUAAUGCAGAAAACUUACAAAAAUUCUUGAAAAAUCUGACAUAACUGUUUUCAAAAGUAAUCAAAACGGAUGAAUGAAAUUCAACAUAUUAUAAUCAUAUCCAAAAGGUUGAAUUUUGAAUAUAACCUUUUUGUGGGGGAUUUGUUUUUAGAUCUCAAGAAUAAGUUAAUAUUAGAGGCUCUAGUGUAAAUGACCAGUAAGGUUCCUGACACAAGAGAGGUCUCCCAAGUCAAGCCCUUGUGCAAGCGAAAAGCCCAUCUCCCUUCCUUUUAUUGUGCUGCACCAUUGUGAAGUAUUCCAUUUCACACAUUGCCUCGUCAUCCUUGGGCUUCCCUCAUCACCUUGUAAGAUUUAUGGGUACACCAAAAACAAUUCUAUACCUGUCCAAAAUCUUAAUUUGGAUUACACUUGCUACGAAUAUUCAUCCCUAACUAAAACCCAGUAUAGUUUCUCAACAAAUCCUUCCAAAGCAAACGUGAAAGAAGUGAUCUCAUUACCCUUUAUUUCAGACAUAUUUCCAAAUCAAAAAGGUAGUGAGAAAGGGGUUCAAGGAUGACGGGGCAAGAGAGACCUAUAGAAAAGGCAACCAUAGAGUCGGAGAUCUUUGAAUCUCAUCCACAAAUUGGAUACGGUGAUGAGUCAGGGGGCGUGGGUGCAAAGUGGCAUAAUUCAACACCAGGAAUUUCAGUCAAGCCCUAUUCUCACGGCAUGUGCGACACAAUAAACCCACAAAAAGUCCUGGUGUGUGUCAACGCCGACCAGCGUGAGAAAAAGAGCGCGCGAGAAGUCUAGUUGGGCCAAUGAAUUGCCACCUCGGAUCGAAAAGGGAUCACGCGAUAGGGUCCGGAUGAGGUGUCCGCCUUCGAGACCGUGAUGGACCAUUUAGUGCUGGCCUAGUCAGCUUCGAAAAGGUCUCGUUUGGGUUAUCCGUUGCGGGUGGAGAGAGAAUUGUGUUGCCGUGGCGACUGCCCGCCCCAAUUUCCAAGAUUUUUCUACUACCCGCGGGCAGUCGAGAAUUUGUGGUCCGUUUUCGUGCCGCCGAACUCUGCCGCCGUCUCUAAAGGGGGCGCCAGUUUGCGGCACGUCACGGCGCGGCGGGGACCCUCGUCCUGCUCUCGUUGUGUUGUCUGGGACAGUAGGUGAACUGCUUUUCUCCAAAGCGUCGGAAGAUGUGAUAGUCGGUUUUUUUUAUUUUUUCAUUUGUAUUUUUUCCUCUAUAAUGCCAUCUCGUCAACCUCAUUUGGGUCUGUAGUUGAACUUGUUUAUUACUAUAUAUAGAUAUGGGACCAAAUCCUCAAUUGUAGAUUCCACGAAGAAUGAAAAUGCUGCCGCUUUUGUAGCAGGAUUCGCUCAUUCUCUCACCCCUUCUGCAUUACAUAUAUACAUAAAAUAACCGUACUUUUUAUUUGGAUGAUUUUAGCUUCGUAAGUAUUCGGGUGGUGAAAUUCUGGCGUGAAUAACUGUGACAUAUUAAACACCAACGUGGCAUUCUUCACUUGUGUUUUUAUUUACUGAGCCACACACUUUACUGCACUGAUGGAAAUGGGGAAUUCCAUCUGCAACAUGGGGCAUGGCAAUGAUACCAAGUUGUUGUGUUUUUUUACAUUCAUGAUGUUUUGAUAUGUAGUAGCGGAAGUUCAGGUGCAGAGUGUGACCAGAAUGACGUCAUCCAUGCAAUUUAAGGGCGAGGGCCAGGCCUGGCACUGGCAGUUGGCAGCCAACUAAAACGCUGAUCGAUAGAGUAAUCUCCCUAGAAAGUUGGCAGUGGGCUCAAUCGUGUAUUUAGCAGCGCUGGCUGGAGGAGCAACUGUUAACUCGAUUAGCAAUACCCCUUGCAGCAUCAUUAAGUUCACGAGUCAAGCUGAUGCAAGUAGACAAAAGUAAGCGAUGAAGACUGUGGUGAUCAAGUCCAUUUUGGCAGAUGGGUGGAGGGUGAAGUUAAGUUUAAGUUACCGGGUGGGGGACACUGCGAAUGCCUGGAGAUACGGUCAGACCCCAUCGUCUGCUAUCCACAUGAACAACUUGGAAUCGCUUCUCGAGAAUAACUUGGAUUUGGAAAUCACUCUGCUCCUGUGGAGCCUCAACAAUAGCACCAAGUCGAGUAUGCUAGAUGCUCACUUUUUGAGGACGAAACUCGAGUAGGAGAGAGUAAGACGAAACUCGAGUGGCCAGAAAGUUCCCCGGUUCUGCAUUUCGCAGUUAUUCUAACCUGGGGCAAACUUCUCCCGCCGGCUAUGAAAGAGGAUCGCCGUGAGCUCGGCCGGAUCCACCGGUGCCUCGUUGUCGAGAUGGACCGGGUGGGGGCCCCCUGGCAUUGGUCACCAGUUUGUCAGAUUGAUCUCCAGGCGUAGCUUUUGGCUUCUUUAUACGUGGAGUGAGCCUAGUUUUUGUUGUUACGCCUUUAUGGGCUCCUGACACGGUCACAUGGUCUUCAUACGGUAAUCAUUGCCUUGUUCCAACGACCGUUUCGCACAACAUGAUGCAAGGAGGAAACGCGGUGCUGAGGUGGAUGCCUGGUGACAUCAGAACAGACCUUCAUGCGGUAAUUAUUUUAUUUUAUUAUUUUAUUUUUAUUUUUCAAAAUUCUUUGUUAUCCUGACUUUGCAGAAUAAACUUUGCAGGAUUAACAUAGAAUCCUUUCGAAGAAUCAUUCUGUCAUGCUCCAUGAAAUUCGACCAACUCGCCAACAUCUCAAAUUGCGCUAUAUUUAGCGACAAAACGCGUGUCACUCUAAUUCCGUAACGCCGUUCCGACGAUUUAGAAGUGCAAGCCGCACUGUCUCGGGACUUCCCUCGACACUGGUUUCGGAGCCUCUUCGCUACUAGACCCCAAUUCCUGAUGCUUGCAGUUGGUCAUGAGGGUGAAUUUACGCGCAGACAUGAAGGUGUGGCGACUGCGUUUCUUCCCUGGCACCGAAACCAGGCGUUUUCAUCAGCUACAUGAAGCACAGAGAGCGAACCAAGCAGCCAUCACGACGUUCUUUGUGCAUGAACGCAUCCAAACUGGGGAGUCCAGAUUGUGUGGAUACAUCCCCCGGAGCUCGGAUCCGUCGACAGAUCUCAAGCUCGGCUUAGAUUGCCGUUCGAUGCGCACCAUCGUCAAGCUUUCCGGUGAGGAAAACGCCGGAAGUGUGAGUUUUACUAGAACUGUGAGGGCAUGUUUCAACAGCACGGAACUGUUGAUUGCCAUGAAUUAAACCAUGAGAUCACAACACUCUAUAAAAGGAUUAAUCCUUACAACUAGUAGUUCAGAUUGUGAAACUUGUGGUUCAAUUCUGCAACUGAAGAUUUCAUGGAUUAGUGGGUCAGAUUUAUAGAUUAGUGCCCAUUAAACUGGUGAUCAUUCAUAACAUGUGGAGCCUUUUGAUGGAGUAGUUGCAUUAAUUUACAUAAAAAUAAGGAACCAUUCUUUUCAAAAAAUUACCAACACAUACAACAUAUUAAAAGAAAAAAAAGUGAAAGAGUAGCUUUGUAGCAAUAUAUGAUAGAUCAAGGAACAAGGGAUUUUAUUUCUUGUGUGAUGAAUUUUAAGGGCUAACACAGGAGAUCUGAUUGCAUGUACAUCAAGCAUUCAUAUAAAACAUGCAUUCAUAUAAAACAUGUUGAUAAUAAGUAGAAUAAUAAAUAAGUAAGUAAGAAAAUAAGAAAUAAAAUUAAAAAUAAUUGCUUUUGUUCUUUCCAAAUUCAUUUUGCACAUUUUAUAUUUAUUAAAAUAAAAUUAACUAUAUCUUAGAACCAUCCAGGCUGUGUACGGACUUCAGUUUUUUUUCUUCAUUCAAUUCAUAUCUAUAUAUACACACAUAUACAUCACAAAUGGACAAAAAAAACAAAAAAAACAAAUACAUCAUUUUAAACAUACUGAUUUUAUUGUUACAUUUUUGUUUUGAGGGAAGAUAAGUUGGGCACCUAUACAACUUCAAUUGGCAUUUAUCUUCAUUGCAGCAAAAAAGAAUCUACGGUUCUUAUAAAUUCAUUUGGUCUGUCUUCUUUAAAGUAUGUUUUUUAAGAAACAAUUAGAUUUUGGGAGACCUCUGGGUUUCUGUCUACCUUGGAUUCCAAACACAUUGCAGAACCAAAUUUGCUAUGGUAUUGAAAGAAAAAAUCAUCAUCACAACAAUUGGGUGCAGCAUAAUUAGUACUUUAACACAGUUUUAAAGCAUUGUUAUCUAUAAAAAGCAUUCAAAAUGAUGCAAUGAGAAUUUUAAAUUAUAGUGAAAUGUAAUAUACAAGUUUUAACAUAAUGACUAGAGUAAUUUUUAACCUCAUUUCAAGUGUGUUUUAACAUUCGCUAACUUACAUUAUCUAAUUACAAUAACUAAUAUACAUGAGAUUUACAUUAACUUGUAGUCAUCAUAAUUUGAACCAGUGGCCUGUUUGUAGAGCUAGUUAAUGGGAAAAUCUUGAAGAGAUUCGUUGACAUGUUUUUUUAGCCAUGUUUGUGUGCUUUUCCUCUUAUUGCCAAUUUUGUCCAUAAUUAGGUGUUCGGAUGAAAUUCGGGUUUCACCAAUUUUUCUCCAUUUCCUUGGACUCAUCGUUGUCACUAGGAAUAGUAGCCCUUCGAAAGGAAUGUCCUAGAGGUUCUGAGAGGCAUAGAAUUCAUCUAAUUGCAAACGCGAAUCUUGUAUGUAAUAUUACACCAAUGUUGGUCAGAAUGAAACAGAAGCCAUUCCAUCUGCUCUAAAAGAAAUUGAAAUUGAAAGAGAGAGAAAAGAAAAGGAAUAGCAACAAAAAUAUAGAAAACGAAAACUACUAAAAAUGAAACUUUGACUAAUUGUGAACUGAAGAUUUUUUGUUGCUUCCAUGAGCCACGUUUCUCCUCACCAGCAUCAAGCUCGAGGGGGAAAGGAUAUCAGCGGGUUUUCAAAAAGAGAUGUUCUCCUUUAGGUGGGCCAGGUUUUGCAGCUCUAAUCUGGUUGCAUUUAUUUAAUCACAUGAAAACACUCCCCUUCAAUUCUCCGAAAGUGGGAGUAGAACUUUCUAGGGUCUAGAGUAGAUUAGAAAACAACAAACUGUGUAUUAUCUAGAGCCAACAGUGGGAAAGAGCAUGAGGCAAUUUCGUUCUGAGCACAUGAAAGCUGCUGUUUCCUGAUUUCAUCGUUUUAUCAAUACAACUUUCGGCUAGAAAAAUGUCCACCUGCUGACACCUACAAUCUAGGUAACCUACGCCGUAACUUGAGAGAGUUAAAAUCGAGGCCACAGUGGAUUGUUUUGCACUCACGAAUGACUGGUUUCAUUUUUCCAAAUUUCCACUGACUUUUUGAUUGGUAAGAGCACCCACUGCGAUAAAAAUAGGGUGGACUCUGCACGAAAGAUUGAGAAAAAUCCAAGGAUGCAUUCCAAUCACGGUAGCCUUUGCCGUAGUGGAUAUCUAUGAUCGAGAUGGGCAACGAGUGAAGUGAUACCAUGCAAACGACGUGAUUGCAAAAGUGCUGGAAUCUCAUGAAGGCCUGUCCACACCGAGCAAAACUAGCAACAGCAUUUCUGCACAGCAAGUAAAUACAAGAAUAAUAAUAAUAAUCAUAAAAAAAUUCCUUGUUACAGCGGGGUGAUCGACAAUGUACGAGAAUGCGCUUUCUCGUCCAUGUGCAAAGCAUAGAGGCGCGUAGUUCCGUAGCAAUCUGAUGGUGCACUGGUUUCUACUUUCCACAACACCGGACAAACAAAUGACAAACGUAUUGUAAAAAGAAACAUACCCAUGUCAAAAAAGGGACAACGUAUAGAAUGCUCGCGAUGCCUCAUAUCUUGGUAAAUCCGAGGGCUCAGUUUCACCAGGGUUUACCCCCUUCCGGCGGACACUUGCAGCUUAGAGGGUAUGGAGCAAGUGUCCUUUCCUGUAGCCUCAAAAGCAAAUCUAGCUCUUUACUGCAAACCUACCUCUUUGUUGCCGAUGUACACGACAACAUGGCGUCAAAAUUUGAAAAGAAUCGGAUCAUUGCUGGUUCCAACAUUUACAGCAUAGUUACGGAACGGAAUAGCAGCUCGGUGGAGUUUCGGCAGAUUUUUACGGUUCUUCUGUCUAUCUCUGUCAAUGUCUAUUUCUCCUCCCCCCCCCUUCCCCCUCCAACCCCCACUUGUUCAAGCGAUGUCCUCGGUGCGGGCACUGCAGCUUACGCAAAGCCGAUAGGGAACCAGGUCGAUGCACCGCAGGCUAGUAACUCCCCACGCGCGAUCUAGACCCAGCGAAGCAAGGUUUCUAAAAUUCUCCCCAUUUUGUGCACAUUUUGUGCAAAACAGGCAAGGCCGAUGAUGACAUCCCAACCAGAAUGUCUCCGCGAAUGCCUCCAGCAGCAAUUCCUCAGCGCUAUGUUCCGGACGCGGGCGCUCAGGGCAGUAAUGAAUGAAUAGGGCUGGGAACCUGGUCCUGGUUUCGAUCAGGUUGUUGCGAAGUUCACUGCAUUGCGCGGCACCGAAGCCAGGGAUGCUGCGCAUCGGGAUAGGCGUCGACGUGAAUGCCAUCACUUUGCUCCUGAUCGAUCCAGCAUCGCUGUCGUUACGUCCUCGAGUAUGAAGUUAGAAAGCUUUCUUCUUAAGUGAGCAACAAACCUGAUAAGCAAAAAUAGCUUUUCGGUGGAUUGUAUCUUGCUAACCCUAAACUUCACAUGCUCAUCGCUGACAAAUAGUUUGCAAUUAUUGCAUUAGCAUCGUCUCUUUGGACUCUGGAUGGAUUUUUCUGCCCCCCAAGAUGGAGUGAUCUUUGUUUGGAGAUUUUGAGGUUUUUGCAUUUUUGUAUUUUUUGUGUUUAUGUUUUCUGCCUUUCUUCCAUUCUUAAAAUAGAAGGGGCUUUCUAGUGGAAGUUGAAUUGUAUGUGAGUAGGUGUUGGUUUUGAUAGGAAGUUAUUUUUUUUAUUUUUUUAUUUUUUUAAUGGCUAAUAAAAAUCUCCUUUAAAUCAUUUGAUCUUUUUGGGUGCCCUGCAUCUUUGAUUAUAAUUUCAACAACACUUUUGCUUUCCGCCCUCGAGAGUAUGCUUUGUGAAUAGUUUUCUGAAUUUAUUCGUUUUUGUCGUCUGCAUGUUAUGUUUUAUUUCAUCAUAACUUGUUAUUUUUGUGUGGUUGUAAUUGCCCUCAAAAAAUUGCAUUAGUGUUAACACGUUAAAAAAAUGAAGUUAUGGAAGCGUUGAUGUUAGUUUUUAAAAUCCAUAUAAUAAUUUCAUGUACAUAUCUCAUUUAUCAGCGUGCAAUUUCUAAAUCAUCAAAUAGAUUUUUUUUUAUUUUUUAUUUUUUAUUUUUUUUGGUGUAAUCUACUUGAGUUCCUUAUUAAAAAAUACAAUAUUGCGAGCAAAACCUGAGUGUUAAGAGUAAAUGUUCUUUAGAGCUACUUUUAAAACCACAUGAUAUAUAUAUAUAUAUAUAUAUAUAUAUAUAUAUAUAAUUUUACUAAACAACUGAUUUAGUAAUGACAAUAAAUUGCAAUUUCGGACUGCACUCCAGAGACCAUCAGAUUAAACGUCCUAAAACACAGAGGGGCCAAUUUGUGUUUGUGUUUUAUCACCCACUCAUGUACAAGCACAUUUACGAAGCAUUUUUAACGAAACAUACAACACAGAAUAUU
rnacentral:lncRNA from 1 species